CUCUCCUUUAUCCCCUUUCCUUCACUUGGCACUGGCAAGCUCAGUGCGGAGAAGCUUGGCGGCGGCAACCAUGUUCUUUAGGGCUGGCAUCACUUCAGUGUACUUGCGGGUCUUGAGCCCACAGUCAGGGUUCACCCACAAGAUGUUGGUCUCAAGAACUGCAAGCAUCUUGUUGAUUCUGUCAGCAAUCUCUUCAGUUGAUGGUAUUCUGGGGGAGUGGAUGUCGUACACACCAGGGCCAAUUCCAGCACCAUACUUCACUCCCUCACGGAACACUGAAAGGAGCUUCUCAUCAGAUCGGGAGUUCUCAAUUGUGAUCACAUCAGCGUCCAUGUCAAUGAUGGAGUGGAUAAUGUCAUUGAAGUUAGAGUAGCACAUGUGGGUGUGGAUCUGUCAUAUUACCUAGGAUGAGCUCAGUGGCCAAAGUGAACAAGAAAUGGAAAAUGAAAGAAAAUUCAGUGAGGAAAGAACCUGGGUAGUGUCUUGAACACCACAGUUGGUGAUCCUGAAGGAGUGGACAGCCCAGUCCAAGUAGAAAGCAUGCUCAGACUUCCUAAGAGGCAAGCCCUCUCUCAAAGCAGCCUCAUCAAUUUGGAUGACGGUAAUGCCAGCCUUCUCGAGAUCCUCCACUUCGUCCUUGAUGGCCAAAGCAAUCUGAUAGCAGGUUUCAAAUCUGAAAAGAAGCCAUAUAAAUCAUGCAAACUAUUAUUAGUUUCAGAGAGAUAUACAUCUUUCUUAAGCCGCUUUUUAUGAGUUUUCUUAAUACCUGGGCUGGUCAUUUCGCACGAAGGACCAGUUCAGAAUAGUAACAGGGCCAGUAAGCAUUCCCUUCAUUGGGCGAGCAGUCAUGCUCUGAGCCAUGGUGGACCAGAAGACUGUCAUUGGCUUGGGUCGGCUCACAUCACCAUAGAUGAUUGGUGGCUUCACACAGCGAGAUCCAUAGGAUUGCACCCAUCCAUUGGCAGUGAAGGCAAAACCAGACAACUGCUCUCCAAAGUACUCGACCAUAUCGUUCCUCUAUAUUAAGAAACAUCCAAACAGUAGGCAGAAUUAGAACCAUUGUUCUUUCAACAGAAAAACAAGGAAUUUGAAUCUUAAAAACCCAUGCUAGAGCAUAGAGAAGAGCUCACACCUCAGGUUCACCAUGGACGAGCACAUCAAUAUCAAGUUCUUCCUGGAGCUUGACAACCUUGUUGAUUUCCUCUUUGAUGGCCUUAACAUAAUCCUCCUCAGAGAUCCUAAAAAGAGAAGGGUGUAAUGAGGGCAUAGAAUAAAGAAAUGUGACAAUCAAUUUCUAAGAGAGCAAAAUAAGAAGAAUUAUCAAAUAAGACUCACUUUUUAGCCUUGUAUUCACGGCGGACUCUCCUGAGAUCCAUGGUCUGAGGGAAAGACCCAAUGGUGGUGGUUGGCAGGACUGGAAGUUUCAGCUUCCUCUGCUGAGCAUCCAGUCUAGCACUCACAUCAGUAGCACGGCGGUGGUCAGAACCCUUCAAAGCAGAAGCCUGAGAGAGCAAGAACAGAAAGUUUUUGUUAAAUAAAACCAGUUUCUGCAAUGCAAUUGUUUGAAAGGCAUAAACAAUGAAAAUGAAUUCAUAAGAGUACUUACAGCCUUUUGGACAGCCUCAUUAGUCACUCUUGGGGAGGACUUCCUUGAAGCCUGAGCUGAGGCAUUGUCAGAGAAGAAUGCCUGAAAAUAACCAUAAUCAAUGAGUGAUGCAGUGUUCAUAUGAUCAAAAGGUAUAAACUUAAAUGUAAGUUUAGGGAAGCUAAGACUAAAACAGACUUGAGCAGCAAACAAAUGUUGAUGAAACUCCAAACCAACUCAGAUAAGCUAAACUGUUUCCCAAGUGAUUGAGUUUUAUCAUCUAAAUUUUCAAUACUGCAAUUACUCAGCCAAAUUUCUAACCCCACCACAACAGAGACUAGUUGUUCUAACAAUACCAUCAUUGACAUCCAUUGAAUAUUUAAAAAACCACAAUAAACUGUCAGUUUUUACAAUUAGAUAUUUAGAAGCAAUUAAAGAACGAGAACAAAGGAUACCUCCUCUUUGUGACCAGCCAAUGCCUUGGCCAAGGCAUUCACUUCAACAAUCUUCUGGGCAGCAAAUGCAAGCCAUGAUUUAAUUUCCUGGUCUAGCUUAGGCUCGUUAAUUAGAUCAACAGCAGUGUGGAGAAGAGAGCAGGAGGUGGAGACCACAAGUUUGUCUACACGACAACAAGAACAUCAGUUCUAGCACAAAUCAACUUGGAUAAAGGAAAUCAUUUACUUCCAUAUCACAAGUACAAUCACAAGAUAAUGUCAAAAAGAAUACCCUUGCCCACAAUGCUCUCAAGCUCCUGUAGGACGCUAAGAGAUGCAGCAAGAUCAUUAGCCCAAAUGUUCCUUCCAUCAACCACUCCAGCAAAAAGGUAUUUUCCUGUAGGGAAUCCAACCUUGAUCAAAUCAAGGGUCUUGGUUCCGCGAACCAAAUCGAACCCAAAGCCAGUAACACCCUUCAAGGAAGUGAGGGUCUUGAAUGCUUCAGAAGGAACAUCAGCAAAGUAUGUCUCAACAAUAACAUUCAAGCCAGAGCAAGAUGCUUCUAGCUCAGAGUAGGCAUGAGUGAAUGCUUGCAACUUGUGAGAGUCAAGAUCCAUCACAAGGGUGGGUUCAUCAAACUGAAUUGAAGAAGCACCAGCAGCCUUUAGCUCAGCAACUACUUCCCUGCAGAGGUGUUCUUAGAAAUGUUAGGUGCAUAUAUUGGGAAUCAACCACAGAUACCCAAGAGAAGUUCAAUUCCUUACUUGUAGAUUGGAAGGAUUUUGUCCAGGAGGGAGAGAAGAGAAAAGGAUUUCUCAACACCCUUUGCAGGUUUAGAUAGCAACAAGUAGGAGACAGGACCAACAAAAACCGGAACUGUGUCUACUCCAAGCUGCAUGGGAGAAAAAGAGAUAUUACAAAAUGCUAAAAACAUCACUGCUAUGUUUGAUUCCAAGAAAAAGUACAAAGAAAGAAUAAAAAUAUGAUAAACAAAAUUAUUUUCUCGUGUUUAGGAUUACCAUGAAAGAUACGAAAGAAAUAAAAGAUAAUUAAAAUUAACUAAUCAAAUAUAAUUAAAAUUAAUUAAAACUUUGGCAUUUUCAAAUUAUUUAAUUUUUAUGUAUAAUAAAAUAUUUAAAUCCAUUUUUUAUUUUCCUUCUAUUUUCUCCGCCUCGCAUUUUCCUCAAAUUUUCCAACAAACAAACUAUUUUACAGGUGUACAGCACAAUCAAAUUAAUAAAUAGAUUAUGGGUCCACAGUACACCCAAGUGAAACACCCUCCCCACCAACACACAACAAUCUCAGACAGUACCAACCAUAAAUCCAAAAUCCUAGAGGAGGAAUCAAGGAGUUAUCAAAUUGCCAACAUGGAACAUAUCCUGACCAAACAAUAAACCAGGGCAGAUGGGCCCAAGAUGUAGAUUUCCAUGUUGUUAGAAAUUAUCUGAAAAUCGAGCCAUUUUUUGGAAGUAUGUCAAAAUGUGAUGAACUACCCCAAUUCAACCUCUACCAUGCAAAAUUACCAGUGUAUGUAUGCCUAAAAACCUUAACAAUUCAAAAAUUCAACCGAAAUGGAAAAUUGAUUAAGAGCACAUACCGCCUUAGCCUCCUGGUAUUCUUUCACUGCCUUGUGAGAGGCAUAGCUAAACUUCACCUCCGGACCCAACUCAGGGACAAUGUAAUGGCUGGAUCCACAGAUCACCCACAAUUCAGUGUCUAUCAAUAUCACUAUUUCAAGCCAGAAAUGAGGAGAGGAGAGGAUCACCACUUACUAGUUUGUGUCGAACCACUUGGUCAUUUCCAUAGCGGGAACGGAGGCAUUUCCUCUGGCCAUGGAGAAGUAGACAUCGAAUUCAAUCUCGCCACCAUUCCAUCCAUAUCUGGGGGGAACGGCGCCGAGCAUGGCUGUGGUGUCGAGCACCUGAUCGUAGUAUGAGAAGGUGUUGCUGGGAAUGUACUUGGUCCCGGCAUCAGCCAUCUGCUUCCAGAUGGACGCCCUCAGAUCGGCCGCAACCUUUUGCAAAUCCUCGGCGCUGCUCUUUUUAUCCCAAAAUGAUUCCAAAGCAAAUUUGAGCUCUCUCUUGGGCCCCAUGCGAGGAUAUCCAACAAUGUGGGACGCCAUUGUGCUGUUUCAUCACAAAUUCGUCACACAUUCCUUCAUUCAGAUUUCAAUUUCUUUGCAACUUUUCAAAUAAGUUACCAUCAAAUCAAACAACAAAAAUUCAAAUAGAUCCAAUGAAAAAAAUAAGAAUUGAAUUCGAACCCAUUUCUUUAUUUUAUUUUUUUCAUACAAUAAAGGAUGAAAAAGAAACCAGUCGAAUCAAACCUACGAUAUAAAAUCAAUUAUUAGAUUUGAAAAUUGAAAUCCUUUUAGAGAUCCAACCCACCCGACAAAGAAAAAACAAUAAAUAGCUAGAAAACAGGACUAGGGUUGCGUAUAAAAACUCCGAUCCACACUCGAAAGUACAGAAACAGGCCAUGCACGUUUGCUUCAAAGGAAAAUAGCUACCCAAAAAGUUUUGGAUUUUUCAGAUUCGUUACUAAACAGAGAUAUUCACACACGUUUUAUUUCGACUGAUACCCAAGACGGGAUUGAGAAGAAAACACACCAAAAUCAGCCUCAAACAACGAAAACGAAGCAAACCCAGAUCAGAUCUAGUAAAAAUGCAAAGUCCCACACCCAGAUCUACAAAACCCAGAAGCAGAUCUGUACUUCAGUAGUGUACAAGAAAUGAAAGAAGGACACAAAAUGGACACAGCCCACACUAUAUCUCUCACACCAAAACAACUCAAACAUAAAGGCUUAUAGUAGUAAGGUGGAUGAAGACCCACAAAGAAGGGUUUAAUGUGGAGAAGCGUACCUAAAGGAGAUAGAAGCGGUGAGAAAUUGGAACCAGUGGGAUGGAGAAAGGGGCUGAGAUUGAGAAUGGAACGGCGCGAGUUGUGAGGGUGGGUAUUGGUAGUUAUUUAUAGAAAGAGGUAUGCGGUAGAUCUGACUCUCCGCUUAAAUUUUUCUUUUCCCUGUGGAAUUCGGUGUUGCUAAUUUUUCUUUUUCCUGUGUCUUCGGUGGUGCUAGUCUCUGCACACGCUCUCCCUCUGCGCGUGAAUUCAGUGAAACUCUUACCCACUCCCGCAACUAUUAUUCCCUUUUUGGCUAUUUACUUAAAACCACCUCAAAAACCCAAUUUUAGAAAUCUAACCCUCCGUCAUUUUUCAACCCUCAAUAUAAAUAUUUGAAAUAAUAGAUGUCAUUUAUAUCAAAAAUAAAUUACUCUAAAAAAAUAGAAGAAGUUAAAAUCGCAAAUAUAUGGAUUAUUUGGUCCCUUUUAAUCAAUUAAUUUUUGUUUUAUUAAGACUAUUACCCAUUCCUUUUGAGUCAUUUUAUUUCCUUUUUUUAAAUACUAAGAUGAUAUUUGUCUUUUUCACUUAAAUUUAAAUAAAAAAUUAAUUUAAUUUUAAAUAUAAUUUAAUUUAAUUAUUAAUUUUUUAUUAUUUUAUUUUUAUUAAGUGUCAAAUAUUAAUAGAUUGAACAUCAUAUUAAGAUUUAGUGAAUGUUUGGUAAAUCACCUUAAUAAUUUAAAAUGACUUAAAUUCAAAAAUAAUUUUAAGAUUUAAUGAAUGUUUGGUAAAUCACCUUAAGUUAUUGAGUAAAUUAAAUAUGUUUAAUAAAAUAACUUAAUGAUAUGACUUAAAUUUAAAAAUAAUUUUAAGUAAUAAAUAAAAAUAAUUAAUUUAUUUUUAAGUCCAUAUCUUAAUUUUAUUUUAUUUUUAUCCUCAUUUGCUCUAAUUACUUUCACGAUCUCUUUUACCACUUCGUAACUUCCAUUGUUAUUCGACUUUAUUUAUCUUAAUUAUAAUUUAUAAGGAUAAAUAUAUUAAUUUGAUGAUUUAAAAUAAAUUUUAAGUUAAUUUUAUCAAACAUCCUUAAUAGUUAAAGUAAGAAUUAAGUAAUAAAUUUUAAAUUAAUAAUUUAAUUUAAAGUCAACUUAAGUUAUUAAGUAAUAAGUAUUAAAUUUUAUCCAAAACCCCCUAAUUUUGAUUAAUUCAAAAAGUUAUUUUUAGUAUUCAACAAAAAGUUAAUAUUUUAACUUUUUCUAUUCUAUAAAAUAAUUUAAAGAAUAAGUAACAAGAAAAAAGUUAAAAAUAAAUUAUUUGAAGUCUUAAAAUAAAUUUCAUUUAGAAUUAAAUUAAAAAAAAAACACCAUCUAACUCUUAUUGAAAAUAUGAAUUUUAUUUUUUUUAAAUAUUUAUACAAUCAAUUUGAAAACAUUUUUUAAAUGACCGCUUUCUUAUUUUAUUUUAUUUUUAAAAUUUUGAAAUAAGAUUUUAAAAGUAGAAGACAAAUUUAUGCUUUUUAUGUAAAAAUAUACGUAAAUAAACGGAUGUAAAACAUGAAAUAACACAUUCCAUUUUGGGAUAAUAGAUUAAAAAGGACAAAAGAACAUCAAAUUACAAAUCUAACCUUCUAUUUUUUUUUUUUACCCAAAAAAUUAUCCAUUUUACACCAGAAUACUCUCACUUUUUCUUGCAAAUUUAAAACACAUAGGUAAAUAACGAAUAUGUCAAAAAUAGAUUAUUUUUCAAGUUUCGCUGGUUUUACAAAUUUAGGAGUUUUUCAUCAUUUUUUAUCGAUUAAUCCUUUCCUUUUUUUUCCUUUAUUUUAAAAUAAUGUCAUUUUUUUCAUAAAUAUUCUAUAUAUGAAGAUUUUUAAUGAUGGAAAUUUUUUAAAAUAAGUCAAAAAAAUGAGGGCAUGUUAGGAAAUACAAAAUUUAUUUUAUAUAUAUAAUUUCUUAUUGAUAUUUUUUAUAUUAAAAAUAAUUAAAAAAAAUGUCUUUAUUGUAAAAAAGGUAUUAAUUUAUUUAUAUUAUUUUUUUAAUUAUUUAACCUUUUAUAAUUAAUUUUUAUUUUGAUAACAUAUAAACUUAUAUAUGAUAUGUUUAGGGAUAAUUUCACUCAACUCUUUCUAGAUUUUAAUUAAAUACAACUAGCUCCCUUUGUUUAAAAAUUUAUCAAAUAUUUCCCUUAUUUUGAAUUAAAGGGGAGGUAAAUGAAAAUAAUAUGGAAGACAUGUGAUAAAAUUUCAAACAUAUGGGGUCUAAAUGUAUUUAGGCAAAAUCUAAGGGGAGGUAAAUGAAAUUAACCCUAUAUGUUUAUGAUGUUAGGUUUAUGUAAUUUUUCUAGUUUAAUAAUAGGUAGAUAUUUGAAAAAAUUAACUUCUUAUUAUGUAAUUUUUUAAGCGUUACAAAAAUUAGAAAUACUUCUUAAAAUCACUAUCAAAACGUAUUAGAGUGUCUUCGGAGUGUUUAUACUCAAAAUAUUGUUAAUAACAUUUCCUAAACUUACCAUCAAAUGCAUUCUUUACGGUGUUUUUACUCAAAAAGUAUUUUUAGUGAAAACGUUUUCUCAUAAAAUAUUUUUAAAAGAAUCACUUAUUAAGUGUUUCAAAAAAAAAAAUACUACAAAUAAUUUUUCAAAAAUUUUAAAAAUAUUUCUUAAUUUUUGUCAAACACCUAAUGUUUUUUCAAAAAUAUAUUUUUGGUAAAAUAAAAUAAAAUAAAAAUGAAUAAAUAAAUAAAUAAAACUUCUUCAAAUCAUUAUCUUGUUUCUGGGUAAACACUUGAUAAAUUAUUCUCCUAAAAACACUUAUAGAUAAAAUAUUUUCCUAAAAACACUUCAAAUAGAAAUAUUGUACACAAUCUUAUUCCCUUUCUUCUUUUCUUUAAUAUUCUUUUCCCACAUUUAUUUUAUGGCAUUCAAACACACAACCAACAUUUUUUAAAAACAUUCUCUUCCAUUUUCUUGUCACUUUGUUCAGCGGCCUCACUACAUUUUGUUAUUAAUUUCCAUGAACUAAAGUUCUCUAUGAUAACUAUUUUCAAAAACCAUUUUAAAAAGUAGUUUUUAAGAAUAGUUUUUAAGAAUUAUUUUAUAAUGUUUUAUAUAAUAAAAUUAUGUUUGAAAAUUUAAAAUAUUUUUAACCAGAUUUAAAUAUUUUUAAAUAUGUUUUAAAAAUAAUUUUUAUGUAUAAUAUUUUAUUUUUAAUCAUUCUAUAUAUUUGUAUAUUAUUAUUUAAAAUUUCCCUAAAAAAAUAAAUAAAUAAAAACUAAAAGAUGUUUUUUGAAAAUACCUUAUUCUAUGUUCUUAAAAAUGAAAAUAGAAAAUAAUUUUUAAUUGUUAAACGUGUUUUUCUAUUUUAUUUUUUUUUACAAAAAAUAGAAACAGUUACCCAACAACAGGUUCUAAAUAUAACUUGAGUUAUUCUUAAACCAAUUUAAUAGAUUUUUUAAUAUAUAUAUAUAUAUAUAUAUAUAUACAAACCCUUUUUGAGACAGCAAACCACUUCAAAUUGGACAUAAAUUUUAUAAAUUCUUUUGCCUAGGCAACAUUACUUCUUUUAAAUCCUAUCAAAUUGUAUCUAAUUUUGUUAUGGUAACAAAAUCAAUACCAUAUCAAAUUAUUUUUAUUUUUUCAAUAAUUUAGGAUUUAUUUUUUUAAAAAAAAAUAUCCCUAAAUACAAAUAUGCAAAAGUAACAACAACAAAAACAAUUAAUUAUUAAAGACCAUAACUACUUAUAGUUUUUGUGGCAUUAUUAUCCCUACUUAAAUAUAAUGUCUGUCUAAAAAUUCACAAAUCUUUGAAAACAUUUUUUUUUAAUUUAUUCCUUAAAUUAUGACCACAUAAGAAUGAGAAUAAAUUCAUUUUAAAACACGAGUACACACUAGAUUUGCCAUUAAAAAUAGUCAUGACUCCAUAGAUUUAUUAAAACUAGUAUCAAAACCAAUCAUCGAUCUUAACUUGGGAGUUUGUUUAGUUUAAGUACUCCAUAUGAGCAUAUCCUACCUUGGAUAGGGGAAAAAAAAUUUCAUGAUGAGUUUUUUCUUCUUAAUAGUCUAAAACCAUUUUAAAGUUUAGGGAACAAUAUAAAAAAAGUUUUUAAAAUAAAAAAUAUUAUUAUUGAAAAAUCCAUGCUUAUAAUUUAAGAAAAAACUUCAAAUUUUUUUAUUUGAAUUACUUAAAAAUUAUUUUAAAAUCCUUCACCUUUAUUUUAAAAAGUGUUUAUUUUAUUAUUUUUAUUUAAUUAAGUUUUCUUUUUUUUUUUGCCUCAAAAAUUGAACAAAAUGAGACCAAUUUAUUAUUUAUUUUGAUUUGGCGCGUAUUCACACGCGCCUGCGAGGUGUAUGGAAGUAACUGGAUUGGUUAAAAAUAUAGAUGAAUUGGAAGGUAAAUACGCAGGUUUUACUGAAGUGAAAUUACAAAAAUAACCGAGGGAGUUGGUGGGUGAAGUUCGGUGGUGCUGUCACUAUUCUUGGGAAGUUACAUUUUGAAGCACGCGUUACUAGUGAAAUUACAAAAUACCCAUUGGAUUGCGGUUGGUGAGAUUAAAAUUCCAAAAGUAGCCUUGAAUUGGUGCAACCUGUAAGAUUUGUUGGUGAGUAGGUAAGUGGGCCAUAACUUGCAUACAAUGACAUGCACACAUUUUUUUUUGUGAUAAAUGACGAUAAUACCCGCGUUACUCAUUUUAUUUAAGGAAGGAAAGAUCUAGGUCGCACAAGCAAGACUUAUAGUACUAAGUUCAAAUCUUCGCCGUCAAUAUGAUGAAAUGUUAAGCACGCAAUGAUGAUAUAAAUAAAAGAAAUAAAGGUAUAAGAUUAAUGAAGAAAUUAAUGACAUCAUAUACAAUAUAUAUAUAUAUUUUAAAUUGAUACUAUUCACCAACACGACAAGAAACCAACACAUGCGAGGUUUAAGUUGAAUAUAAGCAGGUUUUGGUCAAAUUCGUGUUGAUUUGUAUAACUCAUUUAAUAAAUAAGUGAUUUUUGGGUCAAUCUGUUUAAAAAGAAUUUGCUCCGAAUUGAUAUAUGCAAUAAUUUUGUUAUUAACUUAAUUAUAUUUUAAAAAUAUUUAACUUAUAUUGAAUUUAUUUUAAAUAACUAAAUCCAUUAAGUCAUAAACAUAUUUAGUUGAAACAUCAAUCACAUAAAUUUAAUAAUUAGAUAGUAUUUGGAUUUUAUAUUUUUGACAUUAUUAUUAUUUGUGUUGGGUUUGGGUUGAGUUAUAUAGUGAAAUACUUAGGCUACGUUUGAUUGGUAGGAUAUCAUGGGAUUGGAUAUGUAUAUCUUAAGAUAUUAUAUCUCAUUGGAUAAGAUAUCCUAUUAUUUGUCUCAGGUUUUGGUUGAGUUAUGUAAUAAAAUACUUAGGUUAUGUUUGAUUGAUAAGAUAUUAUAUGAUUGGAUAUAUCCUAAAAUAUCAUAUCUCAUUGAAUAAGAUACUUAUAUGUAUAGAAUAGGCAUAUCCAUUGGAUGUGAUACACAUAUUUCACUAGAUAUGAUAUGAUUUCGAAUCAAAUAUGAUAGAUAUGAUAUUUUUGUUGGAAUAUGUGCCCAUAAACAAAUGAGAUGUUUUUUAUUUUGCUGAUUAUUAAUAUUUUUUUAAGGAAUUAUUUCAAUAUUAUUGUUGCAUGCAUGUUAUAGAUGCUUUAUAAAUAUCGAAAACCCUAGAUUAUUUAAUUGAAACUUUAAAUAUUGUAUAUAAGUGUUAUAUACAAGAGGAUAAUAUUUAAAGUAAAAUAAUCUAAUAUGUUCGUAAUUAAAAAUUAAAGUUGGGAUCUUUAAUUUAAAAUUACUAGCGCGGUUCAUUACAUUCUGAAUGAAAUGAUCUUAUCCGGAUUGUUAAUAAUGAGAUUAUUGGAAUGAAAGCGCUUUAUAUAAUUUGAUUAUAUAGGACUGGAACACGAUUAAUUAUGAAUCUCUGAUAAAUUCCGUUAUAAUAUAGAGCAUUCAAUAUUAAUCAAUGAUGGUCAUAUAUGCAUUGAUCUUAAUUCUGAGUGAUUAAUAGACUCCUAUUUAUUCUAUUGUAUUUUUUGACAUACCGGGUAAUGACACAAAUACAUAGUGUCAAAUUCUUGGUGUAUUGGAAGUAUAAUAAAAUAAAUAGCCGGGAAUAUUAAUAUACAAGAUGAAAUCCAUUCCUUCGUUAAGAAGUCAGAUGGACGGUUCCCAUAAGUAUUGGUUCGGGCCUUGAAUGAUAAGAGCGCUCAAUUUAUGAUUAGACCAUAAAUAUAUUAUUCAUUAGAGAACCAAUGGUACUUAAGGAGAAAGAUAUAAUUAAAGAGGUUAACGGAAAAACCUAGCUUUAAUUAUGAACCGUUUAUGGAGGACUGACUCAUAUGUAGUAACUAUAUCAAUGGGCAAUUCAAAUCCUUUGAAUAUAUUUAAUUUUAUAAUUUUAAGAGUGCAAUUCCAAAUUUUUAGUGGAGUAAUUUUGGAAUUAAUAAUUUUGAUUUUUUAAUUAAGUUGUUAAUUAAUUGUCAAAAUUAUUGGAGCUUAAAAUUAUAAUGUCCAUAGUUCCUCUCAACGGCUCCAUUAAAAUUAUAUGAACAUUUUUUUAUGUUGGGUUGAUUUUAUUAGUUUGGAAUUUUAAAUUCUAAAUUAAUUUCACACAAUCUUGAUUUGAUUUAUUUAUUUUAUAAUUUGAUUAUUUAAAAUAUUUUUUGAUACAAUGUGGUGAAGACCACGCUUACUUGUAUUCCCUAAGAAACACCUUUUGAGUGGGGAUCAUGGGGAGAGAUAUUCUCUCCCAUGUUUUUCAAAAUUCAAAGAAACACUUUUUAAGUGGGGAUCAUAGGGAGAGAUAUUCUCUCCCAUGUUUUUCAAAAUUCAAAACAUGUCAGUUAUUUUUUUUCUUCGUGGUAUUAAAAUUUUUUUUUCUCAAUGUUUGUCGGAUGAUGGGAUGAGAAUACAAGUUUUCAAUAUAUAUUAAGUUGUGUGAGAAAAACCCAAGAAUGAAAAACACCCACUCGUUUUGAGUUCAUCAUAAUUUGGAGAACGUUAGAGAAAGAUCCAUGGUGCUUUAGAGGAUUUGGAAUUCUAAGAUCCUUUUGGUGAAGUUCAAAUUUAUCAGCCUAAUCGCAAGGUACAAUUCUAAUUUACCUAUAUUUGUUAUUUCAUUAAAUUAAUACAAGUAUUGAUCAUUGAGAAAAAAAUUUUGAGAAAAUUUUUUUGGCUUCCGUUUUUUCUUUUAUUUAUCUGGUUUCAAAACCAACAAUUUUAAGGUAGUAUAUCCAAUGAGAUACACUAUAUUAUAAUUUAUUAUAUUUAAUUUGUAAAAUAUAUAUAUAUAUAUAUAUAUAUAUAUAUAUAUAUAUAUAUAUAUAUAUCACAUUAAAUUAUUUUUUAUUUAAAAAAUGAAAAAUUUUGUUAUGUUUAACCAUAUUCAUGAUUAAAAUAUUUAAAUUUUAUAAAUAAUUUUUUUUAUAUUACGCUAUUUAAUAUAUAAAAAUAAUUUAUAUAUCAUAUAUUAAUAUUAUUUUAUAAAUAUUUAAGGAAGGAAAGAUCUAGGCCACACAAGUAGGACUUAUAAUACCAAGUUCAAAUCUCCACCGUCCAAGUGUAUGAUGAAAUGUUAAGUGGGAUGAUAUAAAUAAAAGAAAUAAAAAUAUAAGAUUAAUGAAGAAAUUAGUGACAUCAUAUAUAUAUAUAUAUAUAUAUAUAUAUAUAUAUAUAUAUAUAUAUAUAUAUAUAUAUAUAUAUAUAUAUAUAUAUAUAUAUAUAUAUAUAUAUAUAUAUAUAUAUAUAUAUAUAUAUAUAUAUAUAUAUAUAUAUAUAUAUAUAUAUAUAUAUAUAUAUAUAUAUAUAUAUAUNNNNNNNNNNNNNNNNNNNNNNNNNNNNNNNNNNNNNNNNNNNNNNNNNNNNNNNNNNNNNNNNNNNNNNNNNNNNNNNNNNNNNNNNNNNNNNNNNNNNUAUAUAUAUAUAUAUAUAUAUAUAUAUAUAUAUAUAUAUAUAUAUAUCACAUUAAAUUAUUUUUUUAUUUAAAAAAUGAAAAAUUUUGUUAUGUUUAACCAUAUUCAUGAUUAAAAUAUUUAAAUUUUAUAAAUAAUUUUUUUUAUAUUACGCUAUUUAAUAUAUAAAAAUAAUUUAUAUAUCAUAUAUUAAUAUUAUUUUAUAAAUAUUUAAGGAAGGAAAGAUCUAGGCCACACAAGUAGGACUUAUAAUACCAAGUUCAAAUCUCCACCGUCCAAGUGUAUGAUGAAAUGUUAAGUGGGAUGAUAUAAAUAAAAGAAAUAAAAAUAUAAGAUUAAUGAAGAAAUUAGUGACAUCAUAUAUAUAUAUAUAUAUAUAUAUAUAUAUAUAUAUAUAUAUAUAUAUAUAUAUAUAUAUAUAUAUAUAUAUAUAUAUUGAUACUAUUCACCAACACCACAAAAGGCCAACACGCUCAGGUUUAGGUUGAACAUAAGUUGGAUUUAUUUGUUUAACACAAAUUUGAUCUAAAUUAAGCCAAUGUAAUAAUUUCAUUAUUAACUUAAUUAUAUAUUUAAAAUAUUUAACUCAUAUUAGACUCGUUUUAAAUUUGUUUUUAAAUAAAUAGAUCAAUUAAAUCAUAAACAUGUUUGGUUGAGAUAUUAAUCAUAUAGAUAUAUACAAAAACUAACUCAACCUCAUUAUUAAAUAAAAAGAUUUGAUUAUUAAAUGAGUUAUACAACGUUUGAUACUACUAUUAUUCGUAUCGGGUUUGAAUUGAGUUAUAUAAUAGAAUACUUAGACUUUUAUAUGACACAAACACGAUUGACCACUACGAAUUGUCACCCUUGCUUGGAGAUGAAUUUGAGAUUUUCUUUAAACUCGAGACAAAUUUAGGUAUUAUCUUGUCAUGUCCUUAUUAUAUAUAUAAUUAACUUAAAAAUAGUUCAUUUUAAUUUUUUAUUUUUCUCUUUCUAAGGCAAAUAAAAUAAUUAAAAAUAUGCUUCUUAAAAAAUGAAUUAUAAAAAAUUAUGAUAUUUAUCUAUUUAUAAACAUAUUUAUUUGAUGUCAUUCAUUUUAAAUAAUAUUACAUAUUUUGAAUAAUUCUAUAAGCAUAUUUAACUUUCCAUAAAAUUGAAUUUAUGGAACAAAUUGUAAAGAAAUGAAUCGUUUUCUUUGUUUUUAGAUCUAAAUUUUCAUGGCUAUUUCCCAAAGGGACUCAUGUUGUAAGGAGAUAGGUGAUGGAUUUUUUUUAUUUUAUUAUAUAACAAAUAUAUUAUUAUUAUUAUUAUUAUUAUAUAAUUGAAUCUUCCAUUGCCCCUAAAUGUACAAAAUAACCCAUGUGAUCGAAAUUAUAUAUUAUUAAAUGAAGAUACAAAUAAAUAAGACAAAAAUAUAGUGACAUUGAAUAAUUAAAUCAAAUAAAAAAAUAUUAAGUAAUAAAACAAAAUACUUAUUGAUGAUACUUUUUUAUAGGUAUCAAAAAAUAUGUUUCAUAUCAUAAUUAGGUCAAAUAUAUGAUAUAAUAAAUGAGCUUUUUUCUAUGUAAAUAUUUUAAAAUAUAAAUGUGGACCCCGCAUUUCGGCUCAAUGCGUUUCCCACUCGAUGGCGAACUCGAUUUUUAUUUGAAAAUGAUUUUAUUUAUUAAAAAGAGUUGACUUGGAGUCGCCACUUAUUUUUGUUUUAUUUUUAAAAGGGUAAACAAAAUAAGAAAGAAAAACCCUAAGUGUGACUCCUUACUUUGGAAAAGGUGGUCUGUGAAAAACCGGAUCGGGUUCGGGGGUCAGGUUACUUAUCGGGAAGGUACGGUAAAGACCGUAGCACCCCUCUAAGUCCCUAAAGUCGGGUCUCUACUAAUAAAAUGAAGCAAUCAAUGGCAAUUGUCGAGGGAAUCAAUGAAUACUCAGAGUGAUCAUGCACACGUGAGAAUCUAAACAUGCAUACAGAAACUGACUAGGGUGGAUGUGGAUGCGUACCUGGGCAGUGAUCCAUAAAGCGCUAUCAAGAAGUGAGAUUAGCGCACCAUUAAGGAAUAAUUUUGAGCAUGUCAUAGAGCGAAAUAAAACCGAUCAUGCAUGGCAAUUAAAUCAAACAAACAAUCAAUCAAUCAUAAGGAAAUCACAUAUGCUAGGCCCCCACCAAAAACCGAUUUAUAUUGCAUGAAUUAAUCUCACGAAUCCCAUUAUUUCGGAAUUAUGAAGAUUCAUCAUUCUUGCUUGUGUAAAAAUCAAAAGAAAUAGAACAUUAUUUAAAAAUCGGGGUGAAAUUAAAACUAUUCGAGAGAGAACUGGGUUUUUGAGAUUUAUUUGGAAAUUAGAGUCUCGAAAAUUAUUUUAAGAUUAGAGUCUUGAAAAAUUAAAUUUAAGAAUUGGUAUUUUGGAUAUUAAAUUUGAAAGAAAUUAAAAUUUUGGAAAUUGGAAAUUAAGUUUAGAAAUUGGAAUUUUGAAGGAUGCUUAAAAUGGAAUUUCGAAAUAAAGGGCUAAAGUAAUAAUAAUUGAAUAGAUUAAUGUGAGUUUUGGAAUUUUGGAAUUAGAAAUUAAAUUGGGAGUUGGAAAUUUUAAUGAAUUGUUUAAAAUGAACUUUUAGAAUAAAUAAAUAAAAUAAUAAUAAUUAAAUAGAUUAAUGUGAAUGUUGGAAUUUUGGAAUUAGCGGAAACGGAAAUUUUAAUGAAUUGUUUAAAAAUGGAAUUUUAGAAUAAAUAAAUAAAUAAAUAAUAAUUAAAUAAAUUAAUGUGAAUAUUGGAAUUUUUGGAAUUAGAAAUUAAAAUCGGGAAUGGAAAAUUUAACCGAAUUGUUUAAUAAUAAUAAUUAAAUAAAUUAAUGUGAAUAUUGGAAUUUUCAGAAAUAGAAAUUUAAUUCGGAAGUCGAAAGUUUUAAAUGAACUGUUUAAAAUAGAAUAAAUAAAUAAAAUAAGAUAAUUAAAUAGAUUAAUGUGAAUAUCGGAAUUUUUGGGUUUGGGAAUUUAAUUCGGAAAUCAACGGUUUUAAAGAAUUUGAUUUAAAAUGGAGUUUUGAAAUAAAUGAAUAAAUAAAAUACUAAUGAUCAAAUAAUUUAGUGGGAAUAUGAGAAUUUUUGGGAUUGGGAAUUUAAUUCGGAAAUCAGAAGUUUUAAAGAAUUGAUUUAAAUUGGAAUUUUAGAAUAAAUAAAUAAGAUAAUAAUAAUUAAAUAGAUUAAAGUGAGUAUGAGAAUUUUCGGAAAUCGAAAUUGAGUUUUAAAGAUCGGAAUUUUGGAGUAUCAUUUGAAGGUUGAAUUUUUAUAAAUUGGGCUCGGAAAUUGAAAGUUAGAAAGUUUGAAUUAAUAAUAACAAUAAGGUUUUGAAAGUUUUAAUCAAUGAUAAUGAUAAAAAUAAGAUUUUGAAAGUGGAGGUAAUAAUAACAAUAAUGAUGAGAUUUUUGAAAGCUCGGAUUAAUGAUGAUAAUAAUAAUAAUAAAUAGAUUUUGAAAAUUGAGUUAAUAAUAAUAAUGAGAUUUUUGGAAGUUUGGAUUAAUGAUGAUAAUAAUAAUAACAAAUAGAUUUUGAAAAUUGAGUUAAUAAUAAUAAUGAGAUUUUUGGAAGUUUGGAUUAAUGAUGAUAAUAAUAAUAACAAAUAGAUUUUGAAAAUUGAGUUAAUAAUAAUAAUAAUAAUGAGAUUUUUGGAAGUUUGGAUUAAUGAUGAUAAUAAUAAUAAUAAAUAGAUUUCUGAAAAUUGAGUUGAUAAUGACAAUAAUAAUGAGAUUUUUGAAAGUUUGGAUUAAUGAUAAUAAAUGGACUUUAAGAAUUGAGUUAAUAAUAAUAAUAAUAAUGAGAUUUUUGAAAGUUUGGAUUAAUGCUGAUAAUAAUGAUAAAUAGAUUUUGAGAAUUGAAUUAAUGCUGAUAAUAAUGAUAAAUAGAUUUUGAAAGUUGAGUUAAUAAUAAUAAUAAUAAUGGGAUGUUUGAAAGUUUGGAUUAAUGAUAAUAAAUGGACUUUGAGAAUUGAGUUAAUAAUAAUAACAAUAAUGAGAUUUUUGGAAGUUUGGAUUAAUGAUAAUAAUAAUAAUAAUGAAUAGAUUUUGAGAAUUUGAGGUAAUAAUAAUAAUAAUAAUGAGAAUGAUAAUUAAUAAUGAUAAUAAUAACAAUGAUUAAUAAUAAUAAUAAUAAUAAUUAUUAAUAAUAAUAAUAAAAAUGAUUAAUAAUAAUAAUAAUAACAAUGAUGAUAAUAAUUAAUAAUAAUAAUAAUAAUAACAAUGAUUAAUAAUAAUUAACAAUAAUAAUAAUAACAAUGAUAAUAAUAAUUAAUAACAACAAUGAUAAUAAUAAUUAAUAAUAAUAAUAAUAACAAUGAUUAAUAAUAAUUAAUAAUAGCAAUGAUAAUAAUAAUUAAUAACAACAAUGAUAAUAAUAAUUAAUAAUAAUAAUAAUAACAAUGAUAACAUGCAUCCAAGCCCAAAACCCAUAAGCUGGAUCCACUAACAGGCCCCAUCUCCAACAAGCCCAGUCCACAAGCCUAAGUCCCAUAAGCCUAAGUCCCAUAAGCCUAAGCCCACAAGCCUAAGCCCAAGCCUCCAAAGCCCAUCAGCAAAGCUCAAGCCCGAAGAUAACAAUGAGCAAGCCCAAGCCCUUCAUCACAUGCUCUUCUUCCUCAUCUCCGGUGACAGCGACGGAGAAGAAUGGAGGUGAGAGAGAGAUCGCCGGAGGUCCUCGAAGUCGGCCCCGGCUAUCGACUUUCCGCGCCGCGCCGCGCCGCCAUGUCGCGCUCCUCCCUACGGCGUCGGAAGCGUCCAGCUGCAGCGGCCUGGUGACGGCGUGGAGCCUGCUACUGCUGCCUUUACAGGCGCGCGAGGGGCUUCCUCCUCCGGCAGCGACGCCGCCCGAGUAGUGGGAGAAAUAUGGUGGUGGGUGCGUAAAAGUGACGAGGUGCAUGGGAAAUGAUGGGUUUAAUGAACAUAGAGAUGGGAAACUGUGAACAUGAAGGAUAAAAAAAAUGCAGGCAUGGAGUUGGUGACGCGAAGGGAGAGAGAAGGUAGUAAAAAAAAUGGGUUUGCUGGGUGUACAGGGUAUAGACGCAGAGUAUGAAGAUUCUGACAGGUGGGCAUGGAAAGAAAAACUUCAAAGCUGAUAUUGAAAACCUUCUAAAACUAAAUUUUCUGUCAACCAAGGCUGUAAAGAAACAAAGAACUUUGAGACCUCAUUGAGAUCUUUCUCAGAGAUAAUGCAUGUGACAAAUUCUAUUGACCAAAGGUGGCAACACGCCCCUAUAUUAGUUAACUUUCAAUACCGCACCCUUGCUAAUCCAGAAAAACUUUACAAAAUGAUAUGUACAUGAAAGAACCGAUAGCUUGUAGAAACAAGUACCUGUAUUGGCUCCUUCCAAUGCGACUCCUCGGUGUGUUCCUUCCUCUCUCUGACCAGUUAUCUCUCCCCAAGUCCGGCCUCUCUCUCGAUCUCGGGCUCCUCUGUGGACGUCCUCCUCCUCCAGAAAAGUCCCCCCCCCUCUGUUUUUGAGUCUUCCUCCACAAGCCAUCCCCGUACACCAUCCCAUCUGCCACCCCAAAAAAACGCCCACUUGAGUCCCCUCUCUGCCCCAAAAACCAGCCCACUCCAGUCCCAUCAUGUCGAGCGGCUCGGGAAGAAAAAGAUAGGAAAAAUUAAAAAUAGAUAAAUAAUAAUAAUAAUCACUAAAAGAACUGUCUGCAUCCGGGGGUCUACAAUAAAAUAAAAAAAUAAAAAGGUUGUAAAAAAAGUUGUUGAUAUUGUUCAUCAAACAUUUGAAGUUACUAAUAUUUUUUUUUCCUUGUUGGGAGAUAGGUAAGGUAGACACUAAGCAACAAAAUGUGGGACACAUGGUGUACAUGACUUAGUAAAUUAGCAAUAAAGAGAAGUGACGUCACAGGCGACAAGGGCUUGUGUGUGCUCAUUUGUUGAGAUGUGGGGUGGAAAGUACAAUUUUAAAGGAAUAUUCCUCUCUAAUGGUUCACGUUGUUAUUACUCAUGUGUAAUUUAAAAAGGGUCCCAACAAAUGCAAUAAUUUAUAAAAUAUUUCCCAAAAUUCGCUUUAAAAAUUUGUGUAAUUUAUUAAUUAUUCUUAUUUUUUAUAAAAUUAUAAAGGAAUUAAAUAUAUAAUUUUUUUAAGGGGUAAAAUUUAAUAUUUAUUACUUAAUAGCUUAAGUGAAUUUUAAUUUAAAUUAUAUUCAAGUUAUUGACUUAAAAUUUAUUAAUUAAUUUUUAUAUUAAAUAUUAAAUUUGUUUGAUAAAAUUAAUUUAAAAUUUAUUUUAAAUCAUCAAAUUGAUAUAUUUAUCCUUAUAAAUUAUAGUUUAGGUAAAAAAAAAUUGAGUAACAAUAGAGGUCAUGGAGUAACAAAAGUGAUAGUUGAGGUCCUUAGGAUAAAUAUGGAUAAAAAGAUAAAAUAAAAAUGUGGAAUUAAAAAUAAGAUAAUUAUUUUUACUUAUUAUUUAGAAUUAAUUUUUAUUUUAAGUUAUACUAUUAACUUAUUUUAUUAAAUAUACUUAAUUUAUUUAAUGACUUAAAUUAAGUUAUUAAAUCAUUUUAAAUUAUUAAGUUGGUUUACAAACAUCCACAAAUUCAUGAACUCAUUUAUUUUUAGUAUUUGCAAUUUUAUUUUCUGUUAUCUUAAUUUAUAUAAAUUUAUAAAGUGAGCAAAAACAUGACUUCAUGUCAAACAAUGAAGUUUAUUUAUUUUUUUAAAUUUUAAAAUAAUUUUAAUUUUUAAAAAAUUAUAAAUUGAUAAAGACAUACAAAUACAUGAAAUUAUCUAUUUUCAAAUUCUUUUAUUUUUUUAUUUUUCUAUUAUUCUUAUUUGUAUAAAAUCAUAAAAUUACUUCAUUGAUGUGAAACUUAAAGUUUCAUUUGAUGAUUUCAAGUGAUUUAAAAUUUUUAAUUGAUUUAUAUCUUUAAUUUUUUUAUUAAUCCAAGAAGGAAAAAAAAUUAAAAUUUAAAAAUACAACAAAAUAAUGUUCUAUUCUAUUAAUUAAUAUAUUUAGGAACAUGUCUUUAUAAAAUAUUUAAGCAACAAAUAAAAUAGAUUAAGGAGGUAUUAUUUUAUUUUAGGAUAUGGAGAAUUUGGGCAUGUAUGUUAAUUAUUCUUAAAAAUAAUUUUUUAUUUUUGAGAAUAAAAAAUAGAAAAUCAUGUUUGACAAUAAAAAAAUAAGUGCUUCGAGAGAAAAUGUUUUAGAUGUUUUCCAUUAUUUUCACUUGUUUUGGAAGAAUUAUUUUUAAAAAAUAAUUAUACAAAUAAUGAUUAAAAAUAAAGUAUAACAAUCGAGUUCUUAAACAAACUUUUAUUUUACAAAAUAAGAGAGAAUGAUGUUUAAAAACACUUAUCCAUCAAAACCUACACUAAUGUUUUUAUGUUGUGUUUUCAAGUUUUCAUUUAAUUUUGAAAAUAGUUCUUAAAAACAAACUAAAUUAGUGAUGGAAAUCAAGUUAGUUUGGAAUAGGUCACCCUCAUCUUGACCUUGCUCUAUCCCGAGUUUGGAAGAACUAUGAUCGUGUAACAACUUGCACCCAAAUGUGUAAAUAUUAUUCGUUUUAAAUCCAAAAAGACUUUCACAUCUUUAAAACAUGUUUACAAUGUUAAGAGAAACUCAUAUUUAUAUAGUGUCAGGAAGCUAAUCAUCGACUUCGGUGUAGGGGUUUGUUUAACCCCAUGAUGGGUAUUUGUCUGUUUAGUCAUUUCAUCCCAUGAGAACAAAGAGGACGUUGUGUCUGUAUGAGAUAGUAUUUUUGAUAUCCCAUAUUGGAUAUAAGAGAAAGUUUCUAAUGUUGUAUAAAUAUGAAUUCCUUUUUGUAGACCCCCUCGGAUAGAAGGAUUUUUAUUCCUUUUUCUGACCACACCAUAAGUGAGUUAUUUUGGGUGACCAAAGAGGACAAGAAGUGAAAGAAAAACAGUUGAUGGGUGAGCUAUUUUGGGCGGCUAGAUGGGACGGGAAGCAGGAAGAGAAAAUGGGGUGAGCUGUUUGAAAAGGAGAGGGGACGUCCAAAAAUGGGGGCUAUGCACAACUAAUAAAGAAGAAGAGAAAGCUAGCAAGAAGCAGAGAGGAGAUGGGGAUUCAUCGGAGUAGCAAAGAUAAGAAGCUGAGGAGAGCAGCAAGGAAGGAGAAGUAGGAAAUCAACCUGCCAUCAUUUUCCUAGUCUAGGUACGAUUCCAACUUAUUUUACAUUUCUUGUUUGGAACUAUUCUCUUGAGUUUUCUUGCUGUUGGUGGGUUCAUCUUGGUGCUUGAAAGCAACUUGUGCAUGCUCUGUUUUUUUUUUUUUUUUCAUUUUCCUUUAUCCUUUGUUUUUGGCAUAUUUUGGAAUAUUGGGUGAUCACGAGACGAGGGUAAUGCGGGUUUGGGAAGCAGUUAUGUUUGUUUGAUGCAUUGAAAUCUCCAUGGGUUCAUUGUGCUUGAUCAUUUCCCGGCCUUUAUCUCUCUCUACUCUUCAUCAUCAUUUCUCAAGUGCCAAACCUUCCUGCCAUCGCCAUGGUUCUUGUCAUCGAAAAGACCACCUAUGGCCGAGAGUAAAAGGUCAAGGACAUGUUUGAAGCCCACGUGCCACCCCUAGUACUGCCAUCGACGCCUCUAUAUAUGCAGCAAUCGUGGUCACCCAUUGAACCCAUCAUGUCAACCAUCUUCAUCUUCAUCUCCAUUUCCAUUUCCAUCUCCAUUUCCAUCUCCACCUUUAUCUCUUAUUGUCUCUCUCCAAUUAAGUCAUUCGGAAAAUCUCCAUUUCCGCUACUUGAACCUGAACCAGCGUCAUCCUCUUCCCCGACUCCGGCAGUCUCUCCAAGCCUCCACCCAUUGCCAAAGCACCCACACCUGUCUCCUCCUUUCUAGCUCCACUGAUAGAGUCGCCAAAAAACUUUCCAUCGGAUGCUCCAAUUAAAUCAGAAAAUAGCACGUCGGACAAGUUGGUUGUUGAUGUCAUUGCUCCAACAAUGCCGGAUAAGCUCAGCACUGUUCCUAGCAUUUACACUUGACUACAUGGUAUGGGGAUAUGGGAGGAAUUGUAGUCUUUAUUUAUUAUUUUUUUUUAUGGUGCCUACCGUAACCUAGAUGGGUAUGGUAGAUAUAUGCAUGAAAAAUAGGUUUGUGGUGUGGGUAUGGUAGAUAUAUUUAUGGAAAAUGGGUUUGUGGUGUGGGUAUGACAGACAUAUGCAUGGAAAAUGGGUUUGUGGUGUGGGUAUGAUAGAUAUAUGCAUGGAAAAUGAGUUUGUGGUGUGGGUAUGACAUUGUUGCAAUAUGGAAAAUGAGUUUGUGGUGUGGGUAUGACAUUGUUGCAAUAUGGAAAAUGAGUUUGUGGUGAUACUGGUCCUGUACAAGUUUGGCCAAUGGUGCUAAGGCCUUUUGUCUUCUUUUUUUUUUUUUUAAUUUUUUUAUUAUUUUUCUUCAAUUUUGAUGCCAAAAAUUUAAUAUUCAAAAUUUUAAUCUUAAGAUAAUUUUUUUAGUUUAAUUUUUAAAACUUUAACUUCUCAAACUUAAAUUUCUUUCAAAUUUAAUUUCCAAAAUUCCAAUUCUUAAAUUUAAUUUUCAAAACUCCAAUUUUUAAAUUUAAUUUUCAAAACUCAAAUUCUCACAUAAUUUUCAAAAUUUCAAUUCCUUUCAAAUUUAAUUCCCAAAAUUCCAAUUUCUUUCAAAUUUAAUUUCCAAAAUUCCAAUUCUUAAAUUUAAUUUCCAAAACUCCAAUUCUUAAAUUUAAUUUUCAAAACUCUAAUUCUCAAAUAAUUUUCAAAACUCCAAUUCUCAAAUAAUUUUCAAAAUUCUAAUUCUUAAAUUUAAUUUUCAGAACUCCAAUUUCUUUCAAAUAAUUUUCAAAACUCCAAUUUUCAAAUUUAAUUUUCCAAACUUUAAUUUUCAAAUAAUUUUCCAAAAUUCCAAUUUUCAAAUUUAUUUUUUUAGAAAUUUCCAUUCUUAAAUAAUUUUCCAAAUUCCAAUUUUCAGAUUUAAUUUUUAAGAAAUCUCAUUCCCAAAUAAUUUUUCCAAGUUCCAAUUUUCAUAACUUCCAGUUUCAAAUUAUUUUUCUAAAAUUCCAAUUUUCAAAUUUAGUUCUUAAUACUUCAAUUUUCAAAUAAGUUUCAAAACUUGAUUUUCAAAUAUUUGUCUUUCAAAUGGUUUUAAAUCUUUUAAAUUUAUUUAUUUAGUUUUUUUAUUCACCUAAUUUAAUUAUUUUAUUUAUUCAUCUUUUAUCUAUUUAUUUAUUUAUUUAUUUAUUAUUUUAUUAUUUUACUUUAUUUUAUUCGUUUAUUUAUUUAUUUUUCAUUAUUAUUAUUAUUAUUGUUGUUGUUGUUGUUGUUGUUGUUAUUUUCUUCUUUCUUUUUUCUUUUUCUUUUCUUCAUUAAAAUCCCGAUUCACCAAAAUCUAAUUUUUAAUAAACUUGUUGCCAUUUUUUUAUUCAGGCAUGCAUCUUGUGAUUUUCUUUGGUUUUUAAUAAUUUUCUCGUUUUUCACUAUUUUUAAUAAGCAUGAAGGCAAUUUUCAUAAUUCCAAAAUAAUGGAAUUUGUGAUAUUAAUUCAUGCAAGAUCAAUUGGGCUUUGGUGGGGGCCCUACAUAUGAGUUUUCUCUUCUGAUUGUCAAUUGUUAUGCUUAAUGAGUAUUGCAUGAUCUUUGUUUUUCAAUUUGAUAUGCAUGUGAUAUAUUUUAUAUUCGUUAUUGUGCACUAACUCUGUUUCAUGAUAGCGUUUUAUUACUUGCUGCCAAGGUACGCUCUCACUCUCACUUUGUUCAUUUAUUCAUUAUCAUGACCUGAUUUUGAUCUAUGAUCUCUUUGGUAUCCAUUGAUCUCCUAGUUAAUUGUCAUACUUGUUUCACCUUAUUUAGUAGAGACCCAUUUUUAGGGGCUUAGUGAGGUGCUACGAUUUUUACCAUACUUUCCUAAUGAGUAAGCUGAUUCUCGGACCCAGAUUCGGUUUUUCACAAACCUAUUUUUUUCCUUCAGGAGUCAUACUUAGGGUUUUUCUUUCUUAUUUAGUUUUUCCCUUAAAAAAUAAAAUAAAAAUAAGUGGCGACUCCAAGUGUUUUUCUAAAAAUCAAAUUUUCACCAAACAAAUAAAAAACGAGUUUCGACAUCGAGUAGAAACACAUCAAGCGAAAUAUGGGGUCCACAAAAUGGCGACUCUAUUGGGGAAUCAUUUAGAGGGUCAAACUUGAACUUAAAAUGAAGCAAAUGUGGUGUUUGAUUAGCCGGUUGACGGAUACCUUCCCUUUGUGCUUCUUUAUGCUUGAGUGAUCACAGCACAUUGAGGAUUUUGAUGCAACGAUUUUUUAUGCUUCAUUGUUAUGUCUCUUUGGGACAUUGACAUGCUGAUGAUAUUGAUAGAUUUUCUUACUUAUCUUAGCAUAUUGAUUUUUCUUUUGCCAUGAUUAUUCUGCUUACUUUGACAUGUAUGCUCAUAUUGCUGUAUAUUUUUUUUCUUAGUGUUGAUUAUCUUGCUUGUAUAUUAUUUUGAUCAUUUUUGAGCAAGUUAUCCUUGUUGCUAUCCAUUUUGAUUGCCAUAUUCUCAUUUAGCUUAUGUGUGGACAUAAAUGAUAUACCUGCGUUCUGUUUGACUGCCUGUUGCAUGAUUGCUCUUCUCUUGUGUGUUUGCAUGUUGCUUGUCCGUGUGGGUCGCAUAUAUAUCCCCUUACCUCCAAUCCACUGGUUUCGACCAUUUUCUUCAUUUCGGUUCUUACAUUUGCAAGUGUGAGGCCUUGUGUGUGCUUGUUUCUCUAACCGAGCCAGUUGUUUGGGAACAUUCUGGAGGAGAUGGACUUAUUGAUACUGAUUGGAGUCUAGUCUUUGAAGACCUGUAUAGCCUAGAGCUAGGUUUCAUGGAUAUUUGUGUGAUUAAUAUGUUUCAUUUUCUACUUUAGCUUCAUAGGAUUUUCGGAUGCACCCACACCACUCACUGUGCACUUUAGUUGACUACUGAGUGCUGAGAGUUGCCAAAGCUUUCACCAUAGGAAACCCUUUGGGAUGUCGAGGUAGUGCAUGUGUGGAGGUGGUGACCACCUUGCAUGGAAGCGCCCCGUCUCUUCGGAGGUGUGUAGAGGGUUGCGUACCACCGAAGGGUAUGAUCGCUUUUGCUAGAGAUCCUUUAAAGUCCACCUCUCUUCUUUUUAGAGUCACAUUGACCUUGUAGGUUGAGCUUUAGAUCCUUCAAUCAUGAUUUCUUUUCCUAACACGUGGGUGCAUCUAAUUGCCUUUAGAGCUAGUUUAGUAGUGAUAGGUUUAGUUACCUUCAUAGUAAUCUCUUUUAUAUUUGCCCAGAAUUGGAUAUCAGUUUGAUUACUUCCAAGUUAUAUUUCGGCAUAUUUGAUAGACAUUCCUUGUAGAGUUUCCCUUACAUCGUAUCUUAUCUAGUAUUUCCACUAUUCUAGGAGUAUUGAUACUUUCGGCCUGGGUUCAGCUUCUUGGAUCAGAGUUAGGGGUAGAUUGAUCAAAGUAUUAGACCAAUUAGACCAGAUAUUAUAUUAGAGGGGUAUGGACUCAUAAAUAGUUACCAUUGACCAGUUUGUUGCGGUCAUGGCUUCAAUUUAGGAGGCAAUAGCUAACCUGGGCCAGAGAAUAGAUUAGCAGCAUGCCCAAUAGGUCUCGCCUCAGGAUGGCGCACAGUAUGACCAUAUAGUAUCACCACUCUCUCUACCUAGUCAAUCAGCACCACAGACUAUACCUUUCACUCUACAUAGUCAGACCGAAGUUGUCCCGCCUUUAGUCACAGUGCCUACCCCGAUCUUAGAGGACCCACAUGCUCGUAUCAAUAGACUUGAGUAGAAGUUGAGGCAAUUGAGGACUUCAGAUGGAGUUAUUACUUAAGAGGAUUUUGAUGGAGCACCAAUGGCCAGUUUAUUGGCCAAGUUUAGGAUGCCUGAGAUUGAGAGAUACACGAGCAUUGACUAUCAUCGCAUCCAUUUGAGGCUUUACAGUAUGGUUAUGAGGGCCCAUGGAUUGGAUGAGGCCCAGAUGGUUAUGUUUUUCCUUAUGUCCUUAAGUAGCACGACACAAUGUUGGUUUGUUUCAUUGGAUGUAUCACGCCGCCAAACUUAGGAUAAUUUGGCCCAAGAGUUCUUGAGACAAUUUGCAUUUAAUAUUGUCAUUGAUGUCUCGAGGAGAGAGUUAAAGGCUUUGAGGUAGAGGCUAGAGGAGUCGGUCACCUCAUUUAUUUCCCGUUGGAGGGAGAAGAUUUCAUAAGUUAUUGAUAGGUCAUCUAAGAAGGGUCAGAUUAGUAUGAUCAUGAGGAGCUUGCAGCCUCGAUUUGUGAGGCACUUGAUGGGAUUCCCUCAUAUGGAUUUUGGAUCUUUGGUACAGGCCUUAUACGGUAUAAAGUAGGGCAUAGUUAGAGAAUUAUGGCCCAAGUCUUCUCCUUCUGAUUCGAAGGGGAAGAAACCUUUAGGAGGACAUAGAUCAAGAGAUGUGGGUGCUAUCAGUUCAGUAGGUUUGAGACCUACUAGACGCUAUCAGACAGUUGGGCAUACUUUUGGAUUCUACUACCCACCAUCGCCUCGUGUGCAGUAUAGGCCAUGAGCACCUAUUCAGUCGUACGAUCAGGCCUACUUGUCUUCCACACUAAAACUGCCUUAUUAUGCCGCAUAGGGCACAGAGAGACCUCUAGCUUCAUAUCCUACUCCAAUACAACCAUGCUACGCAACACAGUUUGCAGCGAGACCCUUAGCUUCCUAUCCCAGACCUAAAGCUCAGCAAAAUUCUGUUCCUUUUACUUUGAGGACACAAAGACAGUUUUCAUAAUUGGGUAUGUCGUUGAGCCAAGCUCUUCGGAAGCUCAUAGAGGUCGGAUUAUUGACAGUUCUUGCUCUCAGGCCAUUGCCUCAGCCCGUCUGACCACAGUUCAAGAUGAAUUUACAUUGUGCAUUUCAUCAGGGGCCAGGGCAUGAGACUGACCGCUGUACUACUUUGAGGCACGCCAUCCAAGAUUUGAUUGAUCAGGGUGUGGUUCACUUGGGUUAGUCGAAUGUAACCACUAACCCAUUACCAGCUCAUACUACACACGCAGUUCCCCCUCCGACCGAUGGCAUACAUUUCCUUAACUUUGUUGAGCUUGAUGAUCAUAUCCACAUGCUGAGUUGGGAUGAGUCGGAGCCAGAUCCAAUCGUAUCAGAUGAGAUUUAUGAGUUAGGUGGAGUGAGCUUAGGCCCACAGAUUCCCACACCAUUCAGAUUGGUUCCUAAGGUGACAUCCGUACAGUUGACCACAGUUGAGCCAUUGACUUUCCCACGUUAUAGUGUUUAGACUUCAUUUGUUUUGAUUCCGGAUGUUGAUGAGGUUUAGACUCCAUAUGUUGAUGAUGUUUACACUCUUGAUAUACAAUAUGUUAUUUGCAAGGGUAGAGUGGUACGAAAACAACCCCUCGCAACCGCUAGACCCUUGGAAGGGACGUCUGCUCAUGAGGAGGUCAGGAGAGAGGAUAAUGAGAUCCUGAAACAGUUGCAGAGCACCCAGACUCGUAUAUCUAUUUGGAGCUUACUAGCAUCUUCUAACACUCACAGAGAUGCAUUGAUUCGAACUUUGAGUCAGAUCAGGGUUGAGACUACCACUACUCCGGAGGGGUUGAUCCACAUGAUGACAGUUGGCAAAGCCACUUGCAUUGUAUUUUUUUAUAAUGACUUGUCACCCGAGGGUUCAGACCAUACACGUUCACUGUACAUCUCAGUUGGUUGUUCAAGCCAUCGAGUGCCAUUUGUCAUUUUGGACAAUGACUCGGCCUUGAAAGUUUGCCUUUUAGCCACUGCCAUCACCCUUGGUUAUGCACUCUCAGACUUUGAUCCUUCUACUCAGACAAUCAGAGCAUAUGAUAACAUUAAGAGGGAGGUCAUGGGCACUUCGAAGAUCUAGUUGUUGAUAGGUCCAACCAUAUUUCCUACUCUGUUAUAGGUUUUGAGGAUUCCUACAUCCUUUAACUUGAUAUUGGGUCGACCUUGGAUUCAUAAAGCUGGAGUCAUCCCUUCUUCCCUUCAUCAAAAGGUGAAGUUCAUUCACAAUGGGCAGGUCGUCAUAGUGCGGUCUAGGAUGAAUGUUUAAUUAAAUACUCUAAAAAAAGUAAAUUAUAUUCUAAAAAAAAAUUAAUAGUAUGGAAUUGUAUUUAGGUUACUUAAAUUGAAUUAGGAAAGACUACCACAAAUAAAAAUGGCUUAUAUAGAAGCUUAUUUAAAAGUAACUAUGCUAAAAGCAUUUUUGGCUUUUGUACAAGCACUUUUUUUAGGAAUUCAUCAGUAUUUGAAUGUAAAUAAAUAAAAUAAUUUUUGUCAGAAUUUUUUUCUUAAAAUAUAAAGUUUAAAACUUUCUUUUAAAAAAGAAGAGAUUGAAAUCUUGGUAUUAGAGUUUAAAACUUUUUCCUUAUUGGGAAAAAUAUGUUUCAUACACUCAUAUGAAAACAAAAAACUAUAAAAUAGGAACUUAAGUUUAUGAAAUACAAAUUUUAAGCAGCUAACUAAAAAUAAUUAGCAUUUUAUACAUUUUUUUGGUCAAAUGUAUUACCUAUGAUUAUUCAAAUACAACAUUUUAAUGAUAUAAGUACUACUUUUAAUUAUCAGGUACUACAUUUGACUGGUAAAUACAUGAGACUUAAAUUAUUUUUAAAGGUUCCUAUUUUAUAAUUAUUUUUUAUAUGAGGGUGUGAAAACACAUUUUUUUCCUUGUUGGUAAAAGUAAAAGGUAAUAAAUAAUUUUUAUUUUUUCAAUUGUUGUGUAAGAUUUUAUGAGUUUUAUUAAUAUUUAUGAGAUCUUAUAGGAUAGUUUUGAGAUAAUUAAGACUCUGACUACAAAAAUCAUCUUUUUCAUUUUUAUGGAAAAAACAACCGAGUAUUAUUUGAGUUUUCAUAUUUCUUUGACAACUAGAUAACGGAUAGUGGAUAGAUUCUCUAUAAUCUUCCUAUGAAUACUCGUAAAAGAAAUAUUUAUGUUAGGCAGUGAUUAGGAUUUGAGCGAGUAUAGUUCGUUAAUUGCGCAUAUAGAGAUAACUUUACGACAAUAUGUUUAUUGUUCGUGAAUGACACACAAGGAGACAAUAGUAGCUUUAAGACAACGUGCUACCAUGUGUUUUACCAUAUCAAAUAAAAAAUGGAGAGAACAUAGAAAAAUACUUUAUUUUCCAUAACACGUUUUAUGAUUUAUAACAUGUCAUAUGAUAGAAAAAUAAUUUUUUAAGAAGUACAUAUUAAGUUACCAUUUCAAAAAUCCUUAAGACUAUAUUUGGUUCUGAAAAAUACUAGGGAAAGAAAAAAUUGUUAAGAAAAAUAGUUUUCUCAUAUUUAAUUUUACUAUAAAAGAAAAUAAAAUAUAAUUAAAAUUAAUUUAAAUUUUAUAUAUUUUUAAAUUAUUUAAUUUUACUAUAAUAGAGAGAAAUCAAUAAAAUGAGUUUGAAAAAGCAUAUAAAAAUAAUUUAUUAAAUUUAAACUUUCUUUUUUUAUUUUCUUUCACUUUUUCUCUUUUUUUACUUUUCCUCUCUAUUUUUUUUUUCCCAUUUUACCUCAUAUUUUCUAGGAAUCGAACAUACCCUAAGUAAUUCUCAUUUUUAUUUUUAUUUUUACAAGAAAAGCACUUCAAAAAUAUCAUGAACUACUCUUUUAAUUUUCUCAAAAUGACUUAUUGAGCUAAAGUUGCAAUUUGGAUACAUUAAGUCAAAUGUAAGGUUAACUUGCACCAACCUAACUUUUGGUUGGGUUAAGAAUUCCCAACCUACUCCCAUUUAUGGACCACUAAGGUUUUUCAUAGAUUAUUAAAUUAAAAAAAAAUCCUAAAACAGAAUUCCCAAUGAAUAAACAAUUAAUAUAUCUCAAAGUUAUAAGUCAUAUUAUUAAUUACUAAUUCAACAUCAACACAACUUUAGCUUAAUUCUUAACAUUCAAAGAUUUAAUAAUUUAAAAAUGACAAUUGCAAUAGUAUAAUAUGACAACAAAAAUGUCAAAAAGUGAAAAGUUAAUUUUAUUUUAUAUUUUAAAUAAAAUAAUAAAUUAUAUAAUUACAAAUAAUAAAGAAUCAAUAAUAAUUAAUACAUGACUUUCGAUGGGUUAUUUGCAUCUUCAACCCUUGAAAAUUCGAAUAAAUUUUAACUAAAAUAUUAUACAUAAAUUAAAAAAUAUAUUUUUAAAUAUAACAAUUAAAAAAUUAUUUUAUAUAUAAAAUAUUUUUAAAUUUAUCUCUUUUAAAAGACAACAUUAAUUAAAUUUUUUAAAAAUAAUUUCUUAUUAGAUUUUUUCAACGGUAGUAAAUCUAAAAAUAAUUUUACAAAAUUUAGAAAUAAUUUUUUAAAAAUAUUUCUCAAAAUUACUACAAAUCAAAUUACAAAAACUUGACCACCUCAAGCCCAAUUAGAAUCUAGAUUUAAAUUAAGUGGGUGGGAAAUGUGGCAACUUCCUUGUCCUUUUAUGGCUUAGCUGCUUGGAAGUUGGACACAAGUCACACAAUAUACAAAAUUCAUUGACCAAAACACCCACAAGUCACAAGUUGAAGUGUGAACACUCUUUAUUUUUAAUUUUUUAUUAUUAUUUUAUUGUUUUUUUUUCUUGGUUCAAUGUCAUAGUGGGAAUCCAAACCUUGGAAAACCCACACUGGCCAUGCAUGGACAAUAUUCUCUUUUGAAAUUAAAUUUUCAAAAAUUUCAACAAUAAUAUAUUUUAAUUUUUCCUUUUCUAUUUCACUUUCACACCUCUACAUGUGUGCCUUUGGAAUUUACUUGUUGAGACAUCUGACUAUGAGGUGGUAUCUUGUUUGAAAUUUGUCUCUAUUUGCUUGUAAGCUUCAAAGAUCUUAAUCAUCUUAUGACUUUAAGGAAAAAAAGUUGGACUUCCAUAUGUUCAUUUGAAGACUAUUACUGAAGUUUGGAUGCUCUAUCCUUGUGUUAGAAUUUUUGACUUUUGCAUCAUUCCAUAUGUGAACUUUGAGUUGACCUUUGUCCCCGUAAAGGAAAAAAAAAACAUAAUUCUUGCUUAAUGAUCACAUCAAUGCCCAAAAUACCAUAAUUCUUGCUUAGCAAUUCGCAUUAAUGUUAAUAUUAAAGUUAAAUAUUUAAUGGGUGUUUGAUAAAUCAACUUACUAACUUAAAAUAAUUUAAUAAUUUAAUUUUAAUCAUUAAAUAAAUUAAAUAUGUUUGGUAUAAUAACUUAAUAAUAUAACUUAAAAUAAAAAAUAACUUUAAGUAAUAAGUAAAAAUAAUUAAUUUAAUAUCUUUAUUUUAACUUUUUAUCGCAUUUACCCUAAUUACCUUCACAAUCUCUUUUACUACUAUUUUAAAUUCAAUGUUACUCAACCUCAUUUAUGAUAAUUAUAAUUUAUGAGGAUAAAUAUGUUAAUUUGACGAUUUAUAAUAAAUUUUAAGUUAAUUUUAUCAAACAAUCUUAAUAUUUAAGUUUUAAGUCAAUAAUUUAACUUAAAAUCAAUUUAAAUUUUUAAUUAAUAAGUAUUAAGUUUUACCGAACAUCCCGUUAGUUAAGUUGAGAACUUUGUUUCAUUUAUUCUAAUUUAGGAUUCUAUAUACUUCCUUGUGACUUACAAUACCCGUGAAGACUUGAGAUUGCUAUAAACCCAUCUUACAAGUAUAGUGGAAUAACUUAAUUAAAAAAUAAGAAGCAAAUUUAAGGAGUGCUUAGGCCUCGUUAAAUGAUAUUCACGCAAUCAAAUUUGAUGUUGACCCAUUUUGAAGUUUUUUUUCCCUUUUCUAUGUGCUUUAAAUAUAUCAUUGUUAUUAUUUAUAUUUAAUCCAAUGAACUCAAGUUUGUGGUAACAAACCACAUUCUCUCAACGACGUAAGGAGUACCAAGGUGUUUUGUCUCGAGAACAAGGAUAAGUGUAAAUCCUAGUAGUGUAAAUCUUUGAGAAAAUAAUGUUUACCAAGUAAUUAUGUGCAAUUGACCUUUUAUGUUUAGUGGAUUUUUGCUUUGUAGUCCAUCGUGCCUAUAAUUUUCAUAUUCAUAAAGUGUCUUGAAAGAUUUGUAAGUGGUUUUUUCAUAGAUGGUUUGCUCUAGGAGAGAACUCCAGGCGAAUAUGAAGUGCAUGGAUAUAAAUUAAAGAUAUCUCAUGAAGAAUUCAACUUAAUAUUGUAUUUUAUUAUAUGAAUGCAACAUUUUACCUUGUCAAACCCGGGCUUUUUGAUGCAUACAAAUAUUUUUGUUAGAACGUUGAUACAUAACUAAUAGAUUACUUAUAGUAUCUCCAUUACCUAAUAAAAUGAUCUUGUUAUGCAAUUGAAAGUUUUGCUUUUAUUAAUUGAACACAUUAUAACAAAAAAAAAAUUACAAAAAAUUAAAAGAUCCAUUGGACUAAUAAUUGAUGAGGACCACUUAUAUACUUGCUUAAGUAGUUCCAUGAUACAACUUCCUAGGCUUUGUUUGGUAAUUAUAUUUUAAAACAAAAAUUUUAUUUUCUAAAUAAAAAAAUAGAAAAACUUAUUUGAUAAUAAGAAAAUAAAAAUUAGUGUUUUGUUCUUAAAAAUAAAAAUUAUAACGUUUUAAGAUAACAUCUUUCAUGUGUUUUUUAAGAAUUGUUUUAAAAAAUAAUUAUAUAAAUAUAUAAAAUGAUUAAAACUAAAACACUACCAUAAAAAUUAUUUUUAAAACAUUGAGAAUAUGUUAACAAUUAUUAAAAAUAGUUUUUGAAAAAAUAUUUUAUAGUGUUUUAUAAAGUAAAAGUCCAUUUAUGAAUUCAAAAUGUUUUUAACCUAUUAUAUAUGUUUUAAAAUUUUGUAUAAUUUUUUAAAAAAAUUUCUUAUAAAAAUUAUUGAAAGAAAAAUCUUAAAAAAUAUAAUAUAUAUAUUAAUUAUUGAGCCAGUCCUAAAUUUUGAAACUAGAAUUUAGGGAACAUGGUAUUGAUCCGUCGGUGGCUGCUGCCGCUGGAUCGAGUCCACAUGUGUACAUCUAUGAAGCAGCUGGCUCCUCCUUGAUUUCCGCGAUGUCGGUGCUGCCGACAUUCUAUUCCGGUUUCUUCCUAUAAUUGGAAACCGGAUCGGGUGUGUGGGGGUCCGCCCUACUGGCCCUACAUCAGGCGGUCCACAUCUCAUCUGAUAUUCACUGCUUAUGAAUCUAUGAUUAGUGAAGCUACCCCGCCCAUAUUUUCUCAAAUUCUUUUUGAUGAAUGAUAAGGCUUUUGGUUAUCUUCUUAAAUGCUCAAAAAUAAAUUUUUUCAUUUUAAGUCAUGAAUAAAAUUAUAAAUAUGAAAUUCAUUUUUUUAUUUAUCAUAAAAUGUUUUUACGAAACAAAAUAGGAAAAACACGGUAGAAAGAUUUUUUUUUUUUUUUUUUAAAGAAGAAUGCAUUUUGUAAUUUAUCCCACUUUUUAUAAUAAAUAAAAUAAAAGAAUUUUUUUAUUAAUUUUUCUGCAACUUUUAUAAUGAAUAGAUGAGAGAAUUUCCAAAAAUAGUUUUGAAGGUUUAGUUAACAAUUGUUUUUCAAAAUAAUUUUCUAUUUUUUAAAACAAAAAGAAAAAAGAAAACAUGUCUAAUAAUAAGAAAAUCGAGAAUGAUUUUUUUAUCUUAAAAACAAAAAAAAUAAGGUAUUUUUUAAUAAUAUAUUUUAAUUAUUUUUAUUUAUUUUUUGAGAACGGUUUAAAAAAAUAAUUAUAUAAAUAAAAAAUAAUUAAAAAUAAAAUAUUAAAAAUAAAAAUUAUUUUUAAAAUAAAUUUAAAAAUAUAAAAAACAUAUUAAAAAUAUUUCAAUUCUUAAAUAUAUUUUUACCCUACAAAAUAUUAAAAAAUAGUUUUCAAAAAGCAUUUUUUUAACGAUAUUUCUCAUAUGGGAGUUUAAUUUUACGUGAACAAUACCAAAAGUGUGCAAAUAUAAGAAUGAAGGUGGGCAAGGGAGUCAAUUUGCAAGGAAUGAAAGAAAUAAAAAAGAGAUGGAACAUGAUGGAGUAGUAGCAAUACAAUCUUUGCUUUUGUAGAUACUCCAAAUAAUAAAUAUAGAGAGGAGGAAGUGGGGGAAGUGUUGAAUACUUGCAAAGAAUAAUAAAUACGAGCAUGAAACGAGGCCGAUUGAGUGCGGGAGUAGUGACUCCCACGACAUUGUAUUUGUCGGUGAUAUGUGUUUCACUCUUGCCUCCCUCUUUCUCCUUUCUCCUUUCUCCCACUCCCUUUCCUAAAGAGCGUGCAUCACACUCUUACCUUCCCCACUCAUUUUUGUGAGUCGAUUAUAAAAACAACUUUUUGUUUUCAAUGCUUUCAUUUGUAGAUGUUGUUUUAAAUACUCUCAUCAAUAGUGAUGGAUGAGCACUACGUUAAUACGACUUCCUUCUAUUAUUAUUAUUAUUUUUUCCAAUUUCAUUUUCUUUUAUCACAACUUAGAUAUCCCACGUCUAAGAACUUCUUUAAAUUUUAUAAACUUAUUUUAAAAUCAUGACUCAUUUAAGUUUUAUGAGAGUAUUUGUUUGUUUGAAUUCACAAUUUUAUGAAACAUAAUGAGGACAUUGUAUCUAAAUAUUCUCAUAAUAGUGAUGGAUGAGCACCACGUUAAUACGACUUCCUUCUAUUAUUAUUAUUAUUAUUAUUAUUAUUAUUAUUUUUCCAAUUUCAUUUUCUUUUAUAACCACCCCUGUAAGACCUUUUUUUAAAUUUUAUAAACUCAUUUUAAAAUCAUGACUCAUUUAAGUUUAGGAUGAACGAUAUCUAUAUGAUUGAAUAUAGGUUUUUAUCAAUGAUAUCAGAACUGAUCUCCGACUUCGAUGUGAGAGUUUAUUUAACCCCAUGAAAAGUGUCUAUUUAGCCUUAUGAGGGUAUUUGUUUGUUUGAAUUCACAAUUUCAUUAGACAUAAUGAGGACAUUGUAUCUACCUGUAGUGGUGUUUGUGAUAUCUUUAUAUCGAACAAGAGAGAAAGUUUUUGAUAUCAUAAGUAUGAACUCCAAUUAAUUUUAUAAAUGCGUUUUAAAGUCGAAAAAAUAUUUUUGGGUGCAGAACAGAUAAUAUCUAUACGAUUGCUUGUACACGUGUUUUAAAACUGUGAGGACCAAUUUGGGUUUAGAGCAAACAAUAUCUAUACCAUUAGAAGUAGAUCGUUACAUUAUCAAUAUGAAUUACCUCAAAAAUAAUUUUCUAAUAUUUAAUUUUAGGUCAUUACUAAAAAAUAGAUCUCACAUUUUUAUUUAUAUUUAUUUUGUUAUAUAUAGUAACAAAUUAUAAACAAAUUAUUUUACUUAGUGAUAACUAUAAGUUAUGUAUAAACCUCAUUUAAUAUCAUCAUUAUCACAUGUUAGGUACAAAUUAUUAUGCAGUUAGAAAUUAUCACAUGUCUCGAUAUAGCCUAAAAGCUACACAAGAAUUAUUAAUAAUUUAAGAGUAAAAUUAAUAUAUAUUUGAAGUGAAUGUAACGUUAAUACAAAUCUCCUUUCUUGAUUAUGAAUGUCAAAGUAAAAGUCAACAUAAUAAAAUAAGUCGCAUUAUAUCACCAUAAGUGAAACAAUAUUGAAAAUAAUUAUAAGUAUGAUAUAAAAGAACAUUAAUCACAUACGUACAUGAAUAUCUAAAUAUUUAGUCAACUUUUAUGAAGUCCCAAUAAAAGUAAAAUAUAUAUAUAUAUAUAUAUAUAUAUAUAUAUAUAUAUGAAAAUGAAUUUUAUUAAUAGCGCGGUAUAUUAGAUUCGAUUUACAUUGAUAUUGAUUUCUUUGAAUGUCUUGAUGAAAAUUGAUCUUCUAGCAAAUGAAUGAUAUGAAUACUCUUAUUGAUUUAUGAUAUAUAAUAUAUUGUCAUUAUAUUUAUUAUUUUUAUUUACCUAAUGUUUUUUUCAAAUAUUAUUAAUAUAUGAAAUUAUAUAUUCUAUUUCAAGAUGAACGAAAAAGAUAUGUCUCAUAAAUUGUGCAACCGCUCAUACAUUAACAAAAGUUAACGUCAGUUCCAUACUAGAUCCUGCAGACUUGAUUGGAGGUAAUAAGGAUAAUUUUUUGGUCCAUAUAUUACUUUUAAAAUAAAAAAUAGCAAUAACUUUUAUAUAAGAUAGGAGAACUCUAGUAAGCAUAUAUUAAAAACGUAAUAACUUUAAAAAAUAUUUUAAAAAUUGAGGUACUAAAUUUUUUUUACUACUUUAAAUUUUUAAAAAUUAUUUUUAAUCUAUACUUAAAAAAAAUGUAUCAACUUGAUGCUUAAUUUUUUAAAACUAUUAAAAAGUCAUAAUCCUUUCAAAGUAUGUUUUCAAAGAGUUUUUUCAUUUUAUAUGGAAGUUACUAUCAUUUGGGUUAUAUUUGGUUCUCGAAAAGUAUUACAGAAAAUAAUUUUCUUAUAUUUGGUUUCACUAUGAAAAAUAUGAAAGAAAAUCAAAUACAAUUAAAAUUAAUUAAAAAAUUAUAUAUUUUAAAAUUAUUUAAUCUUUAUAUGAUCAAAGAAAAUAAGUGAAAUAAAUUUCAAAAAACAUAUAAAAAUAAUUAUUGAUAUUAAAUUUAUUUAUUUUUUAUUUUCUUUUCAUUUUCUUUUCCUCACAUUUUCCCCAUAACUAAACACACACACAUAUAUGUAUAUAUAUAUAUAACAAGAAAUGUAUCCAAACAACACUCAAAUAUCUAAAAUAUUUUUUAAACUUAAUUUAUAUAUUUUUUUAAAUAAAAACCAUUUAAAAAAAAAUUUAACUUUCUUUGAUAAUUUCACAAGAAAAAGUUCUUGGUAUGCUUAAUCAUCUCAUUUAUGAUCAGAAUUAUAUAAUUUAUUACAAGGAUGCAAGAUUAUUUUGUCAAAAUUUCACGGAUUAAUUUUGACGAGUUUAGAGCUAAUUAUUUUUUCAUGACAAAAAUGUCAUACAAAAUUCCAUCAUUUAAUAAAUUUCAAAAUUUUAAUAAAUUCAAAAUUAAAUUUGAGACAACCAUAACCAUCAUACUCUAGAAAUUUGAAACCUAUUGAAUGCAUACAAAAUAACUAUUUUCAGAAGUACGUAGAAGUGAUCAUUGGCAGCACUUAAAUUUAAGUCGGAUUUGUGGCCAACUUGAAUUAAUGAACACUCACCUUGAAUUGAUAAACAUGAACUCAAUCUGUGUGCACUUGAAGUGAUUAAUCCAAACUUAAUCCAAUUUCAUUUUUCUGAAUUUAGGUUAAGUUUUUGUCUAACUGUUUUUCCUCUUCCAUUGAUUACAUACCAAACAAACAAUAAACGUGGAAUGAAAAAAAGAAAUAAACUAUGUAUUUUAAUAUCUAAUUUUAUUGAAAGACAAUGACGUGUUAUAAAGAUGAGUCUGGUAUAAAAUACCUAACAUUACAUAAAAUUCACUAUCUUAAAGUUCGUUAUUUUUUUAUGGGAUACCUAAAAGAUUAUUCAUUAUCUUGGUAAGAAUAAUGGGACCAUUUGUUUAUUUUUUUUAUAUUUUAAUUUUAAUAUCCUCUUUCAUUGUAUUAGAGUUAGGAAUUUGAAUCACUUUAGGUUUUUAUAAUGAUUUUUUGUCUAUAAUUUUUAUGUAUUUAUACUCAAAUUUUAAAAAUAAAUAAAAUAAUAUUUCAAAAUGAGUGUUUAAACCAAUUUAAAUAUCGAAUUAAAUUAACAUUUUAAAUUUAUGUUCACAAUCACCCAUUUCAUAUAAAAGAAGAAAAAAUUAAAAUACAUAUAAAACAAUACCAUGAAAAAAAUAUGACAAUUAAAAAAGUCUGUUAGGGUAGUAUUUGGUUGGUACAAGGAAAAGUCCAAAAUAAAAAACCCUUUUCAUUUCUAGGCAAAACUUGUGGUUCAUUGAUUGAACAACAUGUAUUUUUUUCAUAUUUUAUUUUAUUUAUUUAUUUUAAGAGCAUGAAUCUAACCUACAUGUGGACUAACUACAACAACCAAUGAAGGCCACCAACUCCAACCCUCCUUUGCACCACAAUUUCCAUGCUACUGUUAUAUGGCAAGUGUGGCUUUCAUCACCAACCCUUGAUUGUUACAUUUUACUUCCCCAUUUCUUUGGUGUUUGGUUGGUUUAUCUGCUUUCAUAGACUAUCAUUAAUCUUUCUUUUUGGUAGUCAAGGUCAACUUGGAAGAAUCUUUGAUUUUUUAUUUUGGAUUAUAAACAUUAAAAUCUUAUGUUUUAGUAAAAAAAAUAUAUUAAUAUUAUAAAAGUUUCAUUUUAUAUGAAAUAAUUUAAGAGAAACUUGAGAAUCUUGGAGUUUGGAGACAUCUUUUGUAAUUUAUUUUUGGACAAUAACUAAAAUGCAUGAAAUUUAAAAUAAAAUGUGAUAAAUACAAAAAUUUAACCUCUCUUUGAUUUAUGCUCUUAUCUUUUACUUAGGGCUAUUUUGGUUCUAAAAAUUUUGAAGGAAAAUAGAAAAAAAAUAGAGAGAAAAAUAACCAAAAAUAUAAAUUUCUAACUUUUAUUGUGAAACCAAACAUAAAAAAAAGAAGACUUCUUUUAGUAUUUUCUUUUUCUUUCCUUAAUAUUUUUGGAGAACCAAACAUAACAUAAAAGUUAGAAUCAAUCAUUAGGCCUUAACUUGAAUUCUUCAGUUUAUGCCACCACUUGAUUAGUUUUUCAUUGAUCCAUGUUGAUGUUAAACUUCAAGUGUUUACCUACCAUGGAUCUCUCUCUCACCAAUACGCACCUUAAUGUUUCACCAAAUCCUCAUUUGAUAACAAAUUUUAGAUCGCUUUCCCUUUCAAGUAAACCUUCAUUUUAAAGAAAUUUUAUAAACAAGAAACUUCUACAUGAAUGAAAUUUUUUCUUAGGAACCUUAAAGAGGUGUGAACUCUAAAUAACACCUAUGCUUCCCUUAAAGAAAGAUUUUACAUGCCUUUGUGACUGUUCAUGUUAACUGUUAUACUUGUGGGAUAUCUUCUACUAUCAAUUCUUCUUCUACAGCAAGAGAUUCUUCCUUCCAAUCUUCAAGAGACAUGCCAAAGACCAAUACUUGCCAUGCACACCCAUAGUCUAUACGAAUUGGCUAGCAAGAUACUAAAGUAGUCAAUCUUAACCUAACAUUACAUUAUGCAAUGAAUAAGAUAGAGAGAGCGGUAGAAUAUUAGAUUCCCUCAUAAUACCAUUGUUAUAACUAGACUGCAUGGUUUAAUUAAUACUUGAUAAAUUAUGAUGAUAUCCUAUAAUAAUGUUGUGCAUGCCUUCAAGAUAGUGGAUAUUUUAAACUAAAGAUCUAUAAUCAUUUGAGAUUUCAUUUUGGAUAUUUCAAAAAUCACUUUUUACAAUAAAAUCACUAUAUUUGAUAAAAUAAAUGGAAAGUGAUCCAAAAUAGAUAACCUAUAGCUUUUUGUAAGCAAUUUUCUAAGAAUUAGGUAGUUUUUUCUACAUUCAACCUAAAAGUCAAAACUCUUAAUAGACAAAUUGCCAUCUUUUUGUGGAACUUUUAGGCCUUAGCUUGAAUUCUUCUAAUAAUGCCACCACUUAAUUGGCUUUUCAUUGAUCAUUUUUUAUAUUACACAUAAUGUGUUUACCUAUCAUAGAUCUCUCUCUCACCAAUAUGCACCUAAAUAUCUCACCAAACCCUUCUUUGAUAACAAAUUUUAGGUCGCUUUCCAUUUCAAUUUAACCUUCAUUCUUAAGAAAAUUUUUAGACAAUAAUCAUCAGUUAAAUGAAAAAUUUUCCGAAGAUAGAACCCUAAAGAGGUGUGAAUUCAAAAUAACAUCUAUGUGUUCCUUCACUCAAUUUUAACCUAACGUUAAGUCAUGCAAUGAGUAGAGUAGAGAGACCAAUUGGAUCUUAUGGUCAUUUAAAAUCUUGGAUUCUUGUAGAAUAACAAAGUUUUGACUACCCUAUUAUGUAAUUAAUACUCGAUGAGUUAUGAUCAUAUCCUACGAUUAUGUUGUGAUGGCCUCCAAGACGGUCCAUAUUUUAAAUUAAAGGCCCAUAAUAAUUUCAUAUUUGAUUUUAGAUCUUUCGAAAUCACUUUUUAUAACACAACAAAAGUAUUUGUUCAACCUAAUAUUAUGUAUUUUAUUAGAAAAUUUCAAAUAAAGAAAUUAUCUAAAUCAAACAUGUAUUUUCCAAUUAAAUUGAAUUAUGCUAAUUAAAUGCUAAAAUUUAUUUAAAUUUUAUAAUUUUAAUACAUGUAACACUUUAACUAGAGAAAUUCAACUAAUGAAUUUGUUUAAACAAAAAAGGGUUUUCCAAUUAAAUAAACUUUGUUAAUUAAAUGCUACAAUUUAUUUAAAAUAAAAAUAAAAUAAAAUUAAAAUUUGCUAAUUAAAUACUACAAUGCAUUUAAAAUUCAUUAUUAUUUUUUAUUUUGUAGAGCUUUAAGUAAAAAAUUCAGUUAAUGGAAUUAUUUGGGCAUGUAAAAACGUCACCAUUUUCCUUUUUUUUUUUCUAAUUAAAUUGAAUUUUCCAAUUAAUUGCUACAAAGUCAAUUUCAAUUUUCACACAAGCUAAUUGACUAAUUCACUCAAUUAUUCCUUCAAAAAAACAUAACAAUCUCAACCUACAAAAUAAAGAAAUAAAAGAAAAAAAGAAAAAUCUCAUCCAAAUAAUAAAGCCCAAACCAUAGGCCCAAAUAUAUUUUGUUCCAAGAAUAAAUUUAGAUUGAGGUUAGCCCAACAUGGAUGUUCUACAAAUCGAGGCCCAAAUCUGUGAAUGCGUAAGCUCAAUUUCGUGAUUUUGAGUCAACUCAGUCACAAUAUUAAUUUCAACACCAUCAAAAUCCAACUCAAUUAGCCUAAAGAACCACAAAAGAGAUGAUUUUCUUUUGAAACUGGUGUGUUCAAUUCACAACCUUCAAUCGAUGUUGUAUUUUGAAACAUGACUUCAUUUGAAAACAAUGUUUUCAAACCAUGACUUCUAUUGAUUAAAUGGGCGAUGAACCAAUAAAAAGCACACAAGAACUAGCUUAUAUACAUAAAGGUUAUGUUUCUUUCUCAGAAAGUUUGAAAGAAAAUGUGAGAAAAAGAAAAUAGAGAGGAAAAAGAAAAAAAAAAAGAAAAAAGACAUAAGAAAUAUAUUUAAAAUUAAUUAAUUUUUUUUAUAUACUACUUCAAACUUUUUUUUCACUUAUUUAACUUUUCUAUAUAAAGGUUAAAUAACUUGAAAACAUACAAAAUUCUUAAUAAUUUUAAUUAUAUUUGAUUUUCUUGCGCAUUUUCCUUAACAAAUUCAAAUAUAAGAAAAUAAUUUUCUUUUAAUAUUUUUUUUCUAGUACUUUCAUUCCUUUUUGUAGAAAAUUUUGUAUAAAAUAUUUUCUUAGUUAGUAUAUUAUUGUAAUAUUAUAUUUCCUUAUAAAAUAAGAAAAGUUGUUAGAAAUAAUAUCUUUAUAAAUAUUCUAAACUAUGAAAAGAAAAAGUUAUAAAACGGAGAUGUGCUAAAAACUAUAUAAGGUGGAUAAUGGGAGACACCCAGUUGAGAGAAAGACUUGUGGUUUAAGGUGUACAUAGAUAACAAGGAGCGAGAUGUUUGGAAUCACGUUAAAACCUCGUGUACUUUUAUAUAAUUGUUUUAUUUUUGUGUUUUUAAUCUAGCAUUGUUUGCAUUAAAACUUUGGAAAACAUAAGACCCAACCAUACAUAGCUAGAAUAUUCUAGGUGUAUUGAUUUGAUAAGAUAUCUCCUACUUGUUUAAAUAUUAGUUUUGGCCAAUCUUCUCCUAUCUUCAUAUUUUGUGGAGUCGAAUAUGGAAAUGAUCUUUCUUUACAUUGGGAUUUCUCGAUAGGAAGAAAUUACACAUGCCUUUUUGUGUUUUUAAUAUUGUUUGCAUUAAAACUUUGGAAAACAUAAGACCCAACCAUACAUAGCUAGAAUAUUCUAGGUGUAUUGAUUUGAUAAGAUAUUUCCUACUUGUUUAAAUAUUAGUUUUGGCCAAUCUUCUCCUAUCUUCAUAUUUUGUGGAAUCGAAUAUGGAAAUGAUCUUUCUUUACAUUGGGAUUUCUCGAUAGGGAGAAAUUACACAUGCCUUUUUGUGUUUUUAAUCUAGCAUUGUUUGCAUUAAAACUUUGGAAAACAUAAGACCCAACCAUACAUAGCUAGAAUAUUCUAGGUGUAUUGAUUUGAUAAGAUAUUUCCUACUUGUUUAAAUAUUAGUUUUGGCCAAUCUUCUCCUAUCUUCAUAUUUUGUGGAAUCGAAUAUGGAAAUGAUCUUUCUUUACAUUGGGAUUUCUCGAUAGGGAGAAAUUACACAUGCCUUUUUGUGUUUUUAAUCUAGCAUUGUUUGCAUUAAAACUUUGGAAAACAUAAGACCCAACCAUACAUAGCUAGAAUAUUCUAGGUGUAUUGAUUUGAUAAGAUAUUUCCUACUUGUUUAAAUAUUAGUUUUGGCCGAUCUUCUCCUAUCUUCAUAUUUUGUAGAAUCGAAUAUGGAAAUGAUCUUUCUUUACAUUGGGAUUUCUCGAUAGGGAGAAAUUACACAUGCCUUUCUUUCUAAAGACCUUUAACAGCAAUAUGUAUAAGUUGUCAAUCAACAUGUCCGAGCUUACACCUUCUUCCACAAUUUCCAUCCAAAGAUACAAAGAAUAUAUAUAGUUUGAACUCUCGUUUGAGGAAGCAAAAAACUCCUGGCAUGAACCCAGAGCUAGCUACAGCACUGCCAUUGGAGUACUGGACCGAUCAAAGCUGCUAUGAACGGCUCUCGAUCGGUUCUUCUUCUUAGGCCAAUAUCCAAGUUGAUCAUGAGCCUCUCUAGCUCCUAACAUUCCAUUCCCAAAUGGAAUCGGAGCCGGUGCGGGAACUUGCGCGACGCCUUCUUUGGUGGCACCUACAUUACUCAAUAUCCUCACAAUUCCUAAGUAGUUUAAGGACUCAGCUAUCUGCAGUGCAGUUACGCCUUUGUUGGUGCGAGCUUCUACAUCUGCGCCCUUCUUUACUAACAAUUCGAUCACAUCAACGUGUCCAGACUCCACAGCGCAAUGCAGGCCUGUAUAUCCAUCUUCUUCUCUAGCAUCAAUGUCCACCCCCUUCUCUAUCAGUGCCUUGACAGCUUCCAUUCGACCCUUGAAUGCGGCUCGGUGCAGUGCUGUCCAUCCAUGCUGGUCCCGCCCGUUGAUUGCUGCUCCAUUCUCAAGCAGCUUGUGGAUUGUCCUCACUUCGCCUUUCCUAGCUGCGGCGCACAGGUUGUCCCCUAGGCUGAGGGCAUCGUAAAGGCGAGUGUGGCCGUACUCAGCUGCUACAUCGUAUGCCGUUUUCCCAGACCGGUUUCGGAUGUCUUUGUUUGCCCCCUUUUGCAGCAAGAGCUUCACCAUGUGCUCAUCGCCUAAGCCUGCAGCAAUGUGUAAGGGUGUGUCCCCGUUCUUGUUCCGAACAUCAGCCCUAGCACCGCUGGCCAGCAACAGUCUCGAGCAGUCCCGUCUUCGCUCCAUGGCUGAUAGGUGUAAGGCUGUGUUGCCGUCCUUUGUGAUGGCGUCAGCGUCAGCCCCCUUGAGUAAAAGAAGCCUCAAAACCUCCAUGUGACCUCCUCUCGCAGCCAGGUGAAUUGGGCCCAAGGUAGAAGAUUGGGAGCGCUCUGUGCUGGCUCGAUGAGCCAACAGGAGCUCCACGAUCAACGCUUCUCCAGACGCCGCCGCCGCCUCCAGUGGCGUGGACCCUGACCGGCUCUGAGCCUCCACAUCAGGCUCGAACUCAAGGAGCAAUUGAACCAGGUCGGCUCUACCUUGAGUAAUAGCCAGGUGAAGUAAUGUUUGGCCAUGCGAGUCAACUGAGUUUGCUCCAUUCCACGCCGAGUCACUCCUCUCGAGCACCUCCCUAACUUCAUCCAUGGAUCCAUCUACAACAAGCUGGGCCAAGAUUGGCGAUCCAACAAACAUGAUUCUGAUGCCGCUGUCGAUGAACACUUGCUUCUUCUUUGUGGUGAACCAGUCAUUAGGAACAGAUUCAACAGCUGCGCCAGGGACGACACAGCUGUGUAGAAGGAAGGAAUCAUCACAGUGAGGAAACGAAUUGGGAAGCAAAGAUCCCGGAGGGAGAUGAUAAGAUAUCUCUACAGUGAGGGUGGCGAGAGGCGCUAUGAUUGCCAUCUGGGGCUUCACUGUGUACCGCAUCUUGUUCAUUGGUUGAAGCCGGAAGGCUACAGGCAUGGUGUACAUAACAUUCCGCAAGAUGAGCUCCCCGUAACACUUCUGGCCAGGUUCAAUCCUGAUUGCAACAAGGUUUGAGGGCUCUAAGCUUAUGAGCCUGUCCAUCUUUACCUCUCCUAUACAAAGAUGUAUGUAACCUUCCAAUUCUCCUUCACUGAGUAUUUCCUUCUUUCUUGAGACUAAACCUUGAUGGGUUUUAAAAGAAAGGCAAAACCCAUGAAGAGAAACCGAGAUUAAACAUGAGAGAUGAAGAAGAUGGAGGUAUUUGAAGGAUGGAAAACAAGGCCGGCACUGCUGAGAGAGUGCCACAUGGUGGGUGUUAAAACCAAAGCUGACUUGUUCUAUUCGGCCUGACAACUGUAUAGUUCCUAAGACACAGUUGUACAAGUCAAAAAACUAAGCAACACUUGCAUAAUUUUUUUCUGCAGAAGUCAUUUUCAGUCUUCAUAUUAAAUCAUAGACACAAACACAAGAAAGAGAGAAAGAAAGCAACUGUCAUAUAUUAAUGUAUUUGUGUAUUAUGCAGCAAAGUAUCAUUUAUUUUUUAUUUUUUUUAAGUAACAAAGUACUGCCAUAGGAGAAUAUCAUAUUCUAGCUUGUGGAAAGUCCAAAGGAAUAAUAUGAUUUUGAUGAUUUCAAAAACAUCUCAGUGUGAAAUGAGGGCUAUAUGAUGGAGUGGUGUUGUUUACUUGGCCAACUAUAGGGACAAAUUGACAAUAAUGCUAUAACAUUAGUGAUCUUGUUGAUUGGGUCAUCUUCCUUUUAUUUAUUUCCUUUAGGGGAGUGUUCCAUUUGGGCGUUUGGCUAUACACAACUCAACCAAACAACAGAAACUUGUCUCUUUGCUCUAUUGGAUCGUGUGUUAUAUGUGUGGAAUAUUCAUUUGUUUGGUGGACUCUAGGCUUGCUUUGCCUUGGUCAAUUAAUAUUUUUCCUCUAGACAUAGCUAGCGUUGGACCUGCAAAAUUUUUUAUGACCUAUUCUUUGAUUGUAAUGCACCAUAAAGGCCAAUAAUAGAAACACCCAAUUCAUCACAUACCAAUCAUAUUAUAUUGCAUCAUUCUCUGCGGGUUAAUCAAGCCAUUAGAGCUGGGAUAUUUUAUUUUCGAAUUUGAUGGGUGCUUAGAUGUCUAUUAAUUUACUAUUUCUUGGUAUUAAAGUUAAUAGGUGCUUAGAUGUCCAUUAAUUUACCAUUUCUUGGUGUUAAAGUAAGAAGAAAAUUAAGUGUUUUCUGUAAUAUUGGUAUUGGUGCAGUUUAGGGUCUAUUUGGAAAACAGAUAUUUGAUUUCUCAAAUAAAAUUUUAUUUUUUAAAAUCUGUUUUUUGAGAAAUAUUUUAAAAAAAACAUUACUUAGUACUAAGACUUAUUCAAUAGUUUUUUUUAUUGAUUAAUAUCCAAAGGUUGGAAGAGAUAGUGGAUGAAACUUAAUGGGUAUUAGGCAAAUCAACGUAAUAAUUUAAAAUGAUUUAAUAACUUAAUUUAAGUUAUUAAGUAAAUUAAAUAUAUUUGAUAAAAUAAUUUAAUGGUAUAACUUAAAAUAAAAAAUAACUUUGAGUAAUAAAUAAAAAUAAUUAACUUAUUAUUAAUUUCAUAUUUUUAUUUUAGUUUUUUUAUCUAUGUUUGCCCUAAUUACUUCUAUAAUUUCUUUUGUUACUUCAUAACUUCCAUUGUUAUUCAACUUCUUUUACCAUAAUUAUAAUUUAUGAGAAUAAAUAUUUCAAUUUGAUGAUUUAAAAUAAAUUUUAUCAAAUAAGUUUAAUACUUAUAAUAAAAAUUAAAUAAUAAGUUUUAAAUCAAUAAUUUAAAUAUAAUUUAUUUUAAAGUCAACUUAAAUUAUUAAGUAAUUAGUACUAAAUUUUACCAAACACUUCUAAAAAUAUGCUUUUUAUCACUAAGUAUGUUCAUUUAUUUAUUUUUUGAUUUGGUGGUUUAAUAUGCUUAAAUGUUUUAAAAUGAUUUGUUUUUUAAAUUAAGUUUUAUUUUCAACUAUUUUAAUUUUAAUUUUAAAUUUGAGGUUUGAAUGGUACUUUAACAUCUAUUUCUAUUUCGAUUUUGGACUAAAAAACAAAUGCCAGCUAAAUAGAGAGAAGAUUAAGGAAGAAGGAUAGGAUGAAACUAGGAAUAUCCCUUUAUGAAAAUGCAAAAUAUGUUGUAUUAAAAGUUAGUUUAUACUAAUUGAAAUGUUGCAAAAACUCAAUGUUAACUAAUUAAUAAAACUAUGUCUAACCAUAAAGUAAUUUGGGUUUUUAUAGGAGUUUCAUUGUUAGGAGGAAAAUUAUGUUUAAAAAUAAAAAUACUUGGAAGUGUAUAUUAAAAAGGGAUAUUCCAAAAUUCCUACUUAUUGGAUUGUAAAACUUGAAUUAAUUUUAUUAUGUUUCACUUAGAAUGUCGGAGGUUGAACUUCUUGUUGAGCUCACAGGAUCGAGUUGCCUAGUUAGUUUAUGACGAUUGAAGGGGGUAGCGCCUCUUGGAAAUUUUUUUUUUAUAUAAUGAAUAACAAGUUUAUCCUUCUUAUAUAUUUAACCAUCUUAUAUUUUAAGGUUUUCAUUUUUUUUUUUGGAGAGCGUUGUUGUAAUUAAGAGUAGUUUUUUAGAGUUUUAUCAUUAUACUCCUUUUCAUUCCUUUUUAUCAAUGGAUUCUUGAGUAUCCGUGCACUCUAUGGACAUAGGAAUCACAUUGAUUGUUGAACCAUAUUAAUUUUUUUUUUCUACUCGUAUGCUUGUGUGAUUGGAUUAAUACUGUUGAUAUAUUUUUCUUAUUUUCUUUUUUCAAGUUUCCAAAAGGCAUAUAUAAUAACCACAUGUUAGAAUUUAGAAUUACUUUUUAUUUAUAAUUGCACUUCAUAGGUGAAACUAAAAAAUAAAAAUAAACUGAGAAUAGAUGUGAAUCACAAUACAAUGUAGAAGAGAAAAUAAAAUUUUAAUUGGAAUAAAAUUUGAUUUUCAUAUUAAUGAAUUUUUACUAGUAUUCUUAUCCUAAAUAAAAAUCCAAAUAUAUUAUUAAAUAAGAAUGAAACAUGACUUAUACGUAGUUGCACUCCAAGUUUAUAUUGCAGAAUUGCAAUGCAUGGAGUUGAGAUGCCUCACAUAUAUGACCAUAUUCCCAACUUGAAGACUGCAGUAAACUGCUAAAUAAGAAGAUUUCAAAUGAAAUAAAUAUGAAAAAUAUUUGCAUUUGUUCAGAUCAUAUGGCAUGGGAUUGGGACAAAGGUAUUUGGGAAGCUUUUGUUAGUGCCUGAUAAAGGCUACUGUAAAAGCCAAAUGGGGAGCUUAGAGUGACAAAUAAUAAUAAUAAACAAUUUCAUAGACUGUUAAUUCUUAAGAGGGGUUUUGUUACCUAGUGAUUUCUCUUAUGCCUUCUUAUGAUUUCAUUAAUUAAUUUUUUUAUUUUACAAGAAACCCAUUUAAAUAUUUUUCUUUUUGUAGUGAUAUGGUGUAUUCAAUUGAUGCAUAAAGACAUAUAAUAGGCUAAAACUACCUCAUGUUGUCUGUUACUAAGCAUCAUUGUUACAAUAAGAUCAUGGGGUGGUUCCAUAUCCCCAACCCUGUCUUUAUCAUAGAAGCUUUUUGGCCAAUCAUACAUGUAAGAAUGUGAAAAUGAGAAGUGUGUUUAUUUUGAAAAAUGGACUCAUAAAAUAUGGUUGAUAGCAACUGUUCUAAAGACAUUUUUUGCAAACAAAUAUUUUAAAAAUAUAUAUUUUUUGGGUAUUUAAAAAAAUAAAAGCACUUUUAAGUCUUGUUUGGACAGCAUAUUUAACUUCUUGAUUUAGUAAUACAAGAAAUAGGAGAAGUUACUAUUAUAGCAGGUUUGAAUUUUAUGUUUAGAAACUAUAUUUUAGAAAUAUUUUUUAUUAAAUAAGAAUAAUUAUGAUAUUUUUAAAAAGUUUUAAUUAAUUUUUUUUUCUUAUUGAUCUUCCUAUCUCUCCAAAAUAUGGAUAAAUCAUAUUGAGACAUACUUUUAAAUUUAUGUUUGACCUACAAACAUUGUAUUUUAACAUUUGCGAAAUUUAUUUGAAUAAGACUUUAAUAUAUUAAGCCUUUUCAUAAAUUCAUUAUUUUCAAUAAAUAUAAAAGAAUUGAUUCAAAUAUUGUCUUAAAACAUUAUUUCUAUUCUCAGUCCCAAAUAGAAUUUUAUCACAAGCUUUAGGCUAUGUUUGGAUCUUGAAAAGUUCAAAGAAAAAUGCGAGAGAAAGAAAAUGGAGAGGAAAAGUAGAAGAAAAAAAAAUUUUAAAUCAAUAAAUUAUUUUUAUAUAUUAUUUUAAACUUUUUCCACUUAUGUAACUCUUCUAUAUAAAUAUUAAAUUAUUUAAAAAUAUAGAAAUUUCUUAUUAAUUUUAAUUGUAUUUGAUUUUGUUUUUCUUUUCUAGUGUUUUUCGCGAACCAAACAUAGUGUUCAUUUAUUAAAAAAAUAAGAUUUGUCUUCUUGCACACCAAGAACCAUGCUCUUAAAUACAUAUGGUGCAUUGCCAUAUAAACUUCAAAAUUAUUUAUUUAUUUGUUUUAUAGCAAAAAAAAUAAUGUUCAAAUAAAUGUAAGCCAAUCUUCAACUAAAAUUUUAAGAAAAGAAUUGUCUUAAUCACUAUGGAUUCAUGCAAUGAAGCCGAAGGCUUACCAAGUCUAAGAUAUUCAAUUUCUUGAAUAUUUAAAUUGCACUUGGCAUGGAGUCUUCCUCCUAACUUUCUCUAAGUAUGCCUUUUCCAUCACUAAAUAUUAAAUAACAUCACUAGAUUGAUUGCCACUAGAAGCAGCUAUGAGUAUUGAACUAUAGGCCUUCAUAGAUUGAUUGAACCAUUGAUUCAAUCAUUAUGGUUAAACAUUGAAUCUUAAAUCAUAUAGUGAUUUAACAUAAUCCUGACCUACAUCCCCUCUCCUCUAACUUCUAUCCAAAGUUUGAGGUUCCACUAUACCAAGGUUUCCAAACCAAGUAUUAAGACAUUACACUUAUGUUAAUUGGCUCAAAUGGACACUUUAUAAUCUUCCUCAAGAGAUGCCUUUAUAAGGAAUCUCGGAUCUCUCCAUUUCCUAUCCCAAGAGUGUUUGGAAUGGUGCAGACUAAAACUCUCAUUUCUCUCUAAAUAAUGGAAAAGACGAUUGAAAGAAUUAGAAACCCUAAUCUCUAAGGGGGUAUUAAUAGGGUUCCUUAUUGGGCUUUAGUGACUUGAAUGCAUUAAGGGUUUUGAUCACUUAAUCUAGCUUAAAAAGGUCCUUAUUGAUUAAUUACCCUAACAUGAUUGUUUAAUUAAUCAAUUUGCUCAAUUUAGAGAUUUUGUUCACUAACACAUGUACAAUCUUACAAAGUUACCAAAAUACCCUUACAAACCAUGUCAUUAAGGUAUAUGAGCUUGAGUGAGGACCAUUAGGACCCAUAGGAUAGUACUAGUUCCCAUCAUAAUCCAAUUCUAAGGUUGAUUCAACAUCCUACUACAGAUAAUAAUGAGACAAAGUUUCGUUUCAUAACCUACUAUUCACUGCAUGGAGAUUUCCCAUGAAUUGGUGUUUGUAAUCUAACAAGGUAGUGCUAUCACCUAUUAAGAUUACCUUUCCAAUCCUUGAGUUAUAGAUCCACUUAUUGUGUGAUCAAUUGACAUAAUCUAACUCUAAGGAGCAUAUGUCAAAUUUCCACUAAAGAAAAUGUUAUGACCAGUCUUUUAGAUCACAUGUUCUUUGGAUCACCCAAAGAAAUACACUGUCUUAAUCCUAUGAGAUAUCGUGGUGCUUCUAUUAAGAAUACUUGUUACCACCAAUCUCCAGCAAUAGUGACCCAAUCCACAGGGAUAUGUGACCACGUCGAGGUGUUACUCAUAUAUGAAAGCCACCUAUUGAUUUUGGCAUAGGUUCAAUAUCAUUUUUAGGUUGAGAGUUCAUACAAUAUAGUAGUUUGGUGAAUUAUGACAAUCGAUAGCCUUACAUCAUGAUUCACCGUAGGUUUUAUUCAAUGUGUAAUCAUACAUACUAGUGCACUCACAAUGAGAAACUUAUCCAAACAGUCAAGACAAGUCAUUUCUCCAAUUAAGAGGUAGUGCAUUGCAAUCUUUACUAGAUUGCCUAAAUCCAUGAAUUGAUUGUGAACACUUUAUCAUCUUUCAAAGAAUCCAUGAUUUGUAUCAUCUAUGCAACUCUUAAUGUACUCAAGUCAUGUACAAUACAAGUGAUAAAAACAUGCAUACUUAGAUAACCAAUUAAUGUACAUGGUAUAGUAAAAUGAACAAGAAGCAAAAAUAAAUAAAUAAAUUUAUUAAUGUAUCUAAAAAUUGUUACAUCAUGUCAUGCUUUCUAGGGUUCUAUUCCAAUAGUGUUGCUUUUGAACCCCCAAGUGAUACCUCCACAUUUGUCUAAGUAAUACCCCAUACUUAAAUUUUUCCUUCUAGUGAUAUCUCAUACUUGAACCCACCUCACAAGGUUUACAAGAAUUGAAAUUCUCAAUACAAAUUCUUAGUUUAUAAAUCUUUUAGAAUAAAAUGAACUAGGAUUGAAAUGUACAAUAAGAACAUAAUGCAAGUUUAAGCUUAAUACACUCAAAAAUAUUUUUCAUAAGGCUUAAGAGAUGAUUAAAUAAUAGUUUGAAACUCUUCUCUAUUUUAUAAAUGAAGUAUAGAGUCUAUAUAUAGAGUUAAAAGGUGAAAGUAAGCGUUAGAAAUAAGUCUCCCAGGAGUAGACGUCUACAUGAUCUUCCUCAUAUUAGCCGUUAGAGCAUUUAAUGAGGUGCAAAGAAUCAUUGGAGGCUAAAAAGUAGAUAUAGACGUCCAAGUAGCCGUUUGCAUUGCCAAGUGGUCAUCCAAGUGGACUUCCAAAUGGGUUCCAUCUUAGGAACUUUGAAUUACUUCAUUCCUUGACCUUGGAUCUCGUAGAGUACAUGCAUUCCAUCCUAGCCUUUUCUAGAUCUAAUGUAACAAAAAAAUAUGAUAUCAAAAACCAAAAUAGAUAUUAGAAGAAUCAUUCUCAAAUCAAAUCCAAUAUGAAGAAGAUGUCAUGGGCAUCAUAGAACUCGUCUACCUAAGGGUUUUUCACUUGAUUCCUCCCUCCAUGGAUCUUGGCACAAGAGAAUGAUGGGUUUCACUUCCUCUCUUGAGGGUAACUAGGGUUUUUUUCAAUCUCUAUCUAAAAGAUGAUGGUGAAAAUGACAAAAAGCCUUAACCCUUAAUCCUUAAACCUUAAGGGGGUUUAUAUAGGGUUCCUUAUGGGCUUAAGUGACUUGAGCCCAAAUUGGGAUAUUGUCACCUAAUCUAGCCAACUUGGGUCUUAAUUAAUUAAUUAGCUCUAAUGAGCUCUAAUUACUUAAUUAGAUCAAACUACCAGUUUAAAAAAACCUUCAUAAGAUCUAGUGCAACCUUGCAUUUUUACCAAAAUGCUUUUAUGCAUACUUAUGAACUACAAACCAAAAUCCUUCAAAUAACAUGUACCACCAUGAGCUAAAAGCUCCAACGAGGACUAUUAGGACUCAUAAAAAAAUACAAAAAUACUGACUCCCUCAUAAUCCAAUUCUAAAGUUGAUUCAACACUUCAUUAAAGAAAGUCAACUACACUAAUAUAAGAAAAUAUCGACUUCUUCAUUAUAUAUCUUAAUAGUUUUGUGAAAUUAUUAUAUGUUGACGACGUACACUUUUAUUAUUGGUUAAGAUGAUAAUUGAUUUGCAAUGUUUUUGACAUGAAGGAUCUAGGAGGUGCUAGACAAAUCUUAGGGAUGUAAAUCACAAGAAGUUAUGAUUAUCUCAAGAAUAAUAUAUUGAAACACAUGACUUGAAUUUCAAGAAGUUAUGAUUAUCUCAAGAAUAAUAAAUUGAAACACAUGACUUGAAUUUCAAGAAGUAUUGAAAGAUUCUUUUAGAGGAAUGGUAUGAAAGAAGCUAAGCAAGUUAGGUCCCCUCUUGGUGGUCACUUCAAGAUUUUCCUAACUUCAAUGAAGAGAAAAAGAAAGAAAGUAUUCCUUACUCCUUAAUUAUAGGGAGUUUGAUGUAUGUUAUGGUAUCUACAAGCCCAAAUAUAAUUCAUGCAAUUAGAGUUGUAAGUAGGUUCUUAUCUAAUCCAGGAAAAGGGCAUUGAGAGACAAUAAAAUGGAUCUUCAAGUGCUUGAUAGGUAGCUCAAGCAUGUGCUAUGUUUUGAAAGAGCUUGAUCGUCUAAAAGGGUUUACAAAUGUAUAUGGUUGAUGACAUUAAUAGUAGAAAAUCUACACGUGGCUAUUUGAUCAUUUUUGUAGGAGUCAUGUCAUGUCAGGCUAAAUUACAACCACUAAAAUAAUAAAGGAGAUGUUGCGGUCAAAGGUUCCCCCCCCCCCCCCCCCCCAAAAAGAAUUGAGUUUCCCCCCCCAAAGAAUUGAGUUUAGAAGAGAGGCAGGGUGCUAUGGGUCCAAGCAAUAGCACCAUGUAUCAUACCACCUUACAAUGCUCACCCUUAUUUCCAAAAUUUGAUAUUUGCAUAAGGAACUCGAAAAGAAAGCUCGGAACAAGCACCCAAAUAUUUGAGAAGUGCAUUAGUGAAAAAUAUAUGUAUUUAAUGCCUUGUUAGCAUCCAAAGAAUCCUUUGGGAACAUUUUAUAUUAUUAUUAAGUUUUAAAAACAAAUGUUUUUAUUUCUAGAAAAAUGUUAAUUUGGCAAUUGGAUUGUUUAUCAAGUUAUGGACUUCCAAAUUUGGGCUCAAAGAAUAAAGGCAAAAUUAUUGAAUGAGAUAGACAAUUAUCAAUUCCACCAUACCCAAUAAGGAAAUGCAAAAACAUCUUUCUUACUUCUUUUUUUCCAAAAAAAAAAAAAUCAAAAUAUAUUUAUUUUUUUAAUAUCAUUUAAUUAGAAUAUCAAAGUGUAACAAGCUUAACUAUUUUAUAUCAUAGAUUCAUAUGGUAGACACAAAAAAGUAUAAAACAUCUCAUUGUUAUUAUCAUCAUACAAUAUUAUUUUAUUUUUACAGUAGGCCUCACAUUCACCAAGAACACCACACCAGUGCCAAAAGCAAAUGACCCACCACCUAUGAGAUUUUUUUUUUUCUUCCUCCUCCUGUUUCUUCUUCCUCCUUUUUCUCUUUCCUUGCUUUCCCCAGCUAGUACGUAUUUUCACCUGCAAGAUAAAAACAAACAAUAUCAUGCCUUUGAUAGUAAAAAAGAUGACCAAUCUACCAUAUAACAAGAAGGAAAAAGAAAAAAAAACAUAGAAAAAUCAUCAGAAAAAAGAAAAUCUUCAAAUUGGAAACUACUUUUUCCCAUGGCAUUUGAAGAUGAUGAUGACAGAUCGAUCAUUCUGCAAUAUUAAAAGAUCCUUCUUCUGCUAAUAAUGAUCUACAGUUGUUCAAUCUCAAGAAAAACACAGAUCCAACAGGUUUCUGAUGGAGAAAUUCAUAUGAAAAAUGAGAGCAAUAUGAUAAUAAGGAAAUCUAGCAGACUGCAUACCAUAGGUGGGAAGAAGAAGGGAGGAGGUAGGGGGUGGUCUAGUCGCUGUCGCUGCUGCUGCUGCUAUGGCCAUCAUGUUCAUGGCCAUGCUCGUGCUUCUUCUUCUCCUUCUUCUUCUUCUUCUCCCCAACAGGCCCGUGUUCAUGUCCAUGUCCUUGGAUCUUCUCCAUUAUCCCUCCCUUGUGUUCACCUUGCCCAUAACCCUCUCCCUUGUGUUCACCAUGCCCAUACCCCUGACCCUCUCCUUUGUAUUCACUAUGCCCAUACCCCUGACCCUCUCCUUUGUAUCCACCAUGCCCUUGCCCCUCUCCCUUGUAUCCACCAUGCCCUUGCCCCUCUCCCUUGCGCUUCUCCUCCUCCUCCUUGCGCCCUCCCCCCAUGUGAAG
rnacentral:lncRNA from 1 species